AAUACUACCUCUAGCAUGCAAGAAGACAUAACAACUAAUUAAGCACCCUAUAAUGCAUCAUGCUCAAUAUGCAUAAUUAAUCAACCAUAAUACCUAGACAUAGGGAGCAGUUCAACUGCUUCGGGAUGGUCACCACCCACCUUUUAUAGCGUUCCGUUUGCUCGUCGUCACUCGCAAUCGGCCUCCCGCGGCGCACGCCGCUCGGCUCGACCCAACUCACGCGCGACCACCGAACGACCUCCGAUCUGCAAUCCGGAAAUUAAAUGUCUUCGGUUUCUCGUUAUGAUACUCGGAACCCGAUCCCGCGAUUUAUGGAUGCCACCUCGGCCCUCCAGGCGGAAAUGAAUGCCGGAAGGUCCUUUUCUUCAAUAUCUUUGCACCGGCUCGACGAAUCGCCGAACCGACUUUGCCAACGUGUCAGAAUAUCUAGCAAUUAGGUUUACAACCAUCCAAAUGAGAUCAAAACCCUAGAUUUCCUAAAACCCCAUUUUAGAGCCCUAGUUUACAACUACGGCAAAAUCCACCGUUAAUCCUCUAGAUUCUAGCAUUUAUCAUCUAUUUAGCAUGCUAAGAUUCCAAAUAAACUAUUUCUAGAGAUUAAAAUCCAAGCUCUAGUGAUUCACCAUUAAUGAGCAUCAAAGCUUACCUCAACUAAGCUUCUUCUCCAAGCAAAGGAAGAAGAAGAUGAUAGAAACCCUUCUCCAAGCUCCAAUCUCCACCCUUCUCCUCCUCUUGAUCAACUUCUACAGAGAGAGGAAGCUUCCUAGAGAAAGAGAGGGUGUUCUUUUAGGUCUAGGUCAUGAGAAAUGAGAGGGAGAAGAGAACACUUGCUCCUAUACUCUCUCAUAAGUGCACAAAUUGCACAAAAGACCUUCAACUCUCCAAAUAAUGCCCUGCCCCCGCGGGGCCAUUUUUUGUAUAAGGGACCGGUCCUUGGACUUGAGGGACCGGUCCCCGUAGGUCCAGAAAAAUAGCAUUUUAGGACUUAGCAAAAUUUUCAGCUUUUUCACCCUUUCUUUUCCGUUUUCGCUCGUUUAGCCUCCGAUUCUUUUCAAAUCGAACUGAGACUCUCCAAACAUGUUUUCGAGCGUGUUUUCAUCAUAUUUUUAUCCACGCUAACGCCAGAUUUAGUUCACGACCCAACAUAGCCUUUCGGGUCCCUCUUUGCGCCUACGCACACCAAAGCGCCCGACUGCUUCCGGACUUAACCGGAACUUCACCGGAACCAUUCUAAUGGCUCUCCAACCAAAUGUACACCGUAACUUCAUGAUUUUAGAAGUCUGGUACCUUACAUCCUCCCCUCUUUAAAAGGAGUUUUGUCCCCGAAACUAACCACCUCAAAUCUAACACACACAUCAACUCAACUUAUUGAGUAAUCGAGGGUUCCAAUGCACUUUCGCACUCCGGGGUGGCCUUUCACUCAUCAGAGCUAUCCAAAGGCCCACUCUGGAGGAUGUGAGAUCAAGUUCACUCAUAUUUGCUAAGUAGAACAUCGAAAGUGCAUUACUAGCACACAAGGAAUCUCUCCUUGCACUACUCUCCUAAUCGAGGAACACUCCGAUUCGAUCACUGACAUUGCCCAGAAGCAAUAUCAUUGGUGCAUCGAUCAAUCGCGAGUGCUACCAUCACAUCCGGAUCUUUGCUCUACUACGAGAUGGCACACUUCGGCACAUCUCCAAUGUUAAUCCUCAAGAGAGCAAUAUUUUGAAUUCUAUGUGGCUAUCCGGUAUUCAAGUGUCUCCAAGAGACCACUUUACCUUAUCUUUCAAUUGCCACUUCCAACAUCAAAUCGCUCUACAACGAACUCACACGAACACUCUGUCUGCAAAUCCAAACCAAACUCCUCGACAGAGUUAUUGGCCAAACCGAUAACCUCGGUUUCCACAUGUGGACCAACAGUCACUAACUUUACUCAAGCCUAUAGCCUAACCGUCUCGACACUCGUAACGUCUCUCCAACCACAUGUGGUCAACGCUUGCAAGCGUUGACCAAAUCAUAACUGGGCGAAAUUCUCACUUUGGAAUUUGCACACACUCCGAUCAGGAGCAACUAAGACCUCAAACCGCUACAAUUCAUCGGGUUGGGUCACUAUCGCACCCUUAACGCAUGCUCGAUCUCGAGAUCCAACACGUGGCAUCUCUCGCUCCCGAAUCUAAGCUCGGACUACUGCCCUUCUCAAUUCGAGGUAGGCAUCGCGCUACCACCACUCAUGCAUGCUAGGGUAACCACACCGACCCAUGCCUUGGUCUCUACUAUGCUUAUGAACAAAUAGUAGCAAACGACCACAACUACAAUGCAUGUAAUGCACUUAUUUAAUAUCAUGCAAAGGUACAUACUUGCUUCAACUAAACCAUACCUGCCAUGACAUCAUUCGCAGCAGUAGGCUCCUCAACUUGGGCGGCAUACACCCGCCCACUUGGAGCAGAUCGGGUCGCCUCAGGCCGACGUGGCACCAAAGCACGUCCAGCCGACCCAACCAUAGGUGGGGCUCCUCCAUAAUGGCCUGGAAUUGCCGGAGCCGAUGCGACAGACAGGGAAACCAAAGCCUUUCUUGGGCAAUCAUAGGCCAUGUGGCCCGCCUGGCCGGAUUCAUAACAUCUCCCACGGCAAUGCUCACAUUGCGUCAUUCGGUGGUCUCCACCACAAAAGACGCACCACUGCACUUCACGGCCCUCGGGCCGUUCUCGCGGGUACUUCGGGGGCUUCUUGGAACCCGAUUGACCUCCAGAACCACCGCCGGUCCGCCUCUUUCCCUUUUCCUUCUCGAACUCUUCGCGCUCCUCGAGAAUGCACACAUUGCCGUGCUCGACCCACAGAGCACGGUCCAACACCUCCGCGAACGUAUGAAACUUGAAGGCAUGCACCAAUCAGAAAACAUCGAGCCGGAGUCCCCGCACGAAACACUCUGCCCGGUCCUGCUCGAUCCUAACCAUAUCCGGCACGCAGUUCAGGAUAUAUGUGAACUCCCGCUCAUACUCGCGUACCAUGCGGUUACCCUGCUUUAACUUCCGAAAGGUCUCAUGCAUCCUUCUCUUGUCACUGUCGGGGAAGUACUCCGUGAACAUCAGUCCCCGAAACUCCGCCCAAUCAAUCGGGGGUAAAUCCGGAGAUCUAUCUUGCUUUACCCUCCGCCACCACACUCUAGCCCUCUUAUCGAAACAAUGAGCGGCCAAAAUUACCUUAUCUUGCCCGAGGGUAUAGAUAUCAUCAAACAAGGUUUCCAUUGUGGCUAACCACGUCUCCACCGUCCACGGGUCUACUACCUCGCCAUCGAAGGUCGGAGGACGGAACUUCAUGAACCUUGUGAGCGCCGUGUAGCCGCACUCCCACUCCGACUCCUCGAUUGCCGCGCGGGUUGCAGAACCCGACGCCGCCGCAGGAACACUUGCCGACAGGGGAUGUGCUGCCACCAGAGGCGCCGCAAUGCCCUCACCCUCAGUCGCAACUGGCGUUCGAGCCGAGAGUGCAGGCGGAUCAUGACCCUCGGUUGUCGUCGGGGCCGCCGCCGCCAUCUGUCGCUCUACAAGCCCUUGCAGCUGCUGCACUGCGCCAACUAGCACAGUCAUCUGUGCCCCCAGCUCUUGCACUUCGCUUGACCCGCCUUGCUCAGCUUGCUCAGGCACCUCAGGCGGCGGUGCCGGAACGAAACUACGCACGUAGCAUCUCGGAGACAUUCGUUCCUGAAACGCAACAAGUUGGUUAAUUACCUUAACCCAACAUCUCCUCGCAAUCACGAAACAACACGUCUCAACAACAUAAUCAGGCGGAAGUACGCAAGUGUACUCGUUCUAGACUCUUGGCUUUAUGUCGUCGGACGGCGACACAACCACCUCGAGUAAAGAAGUCAUACCACUUGAGUUCAUCUCUAAUCACUACUAGAGAUACAUCACCAUUUUCGACCCAAUCAAAUCAACUUCCGCCACCGCAUAGGUUCACGUUCCACUCACGCACCUAUGGCCUUAAGGUUUACCAUCCUAGGGUCUCCUAGGCCCAUCCUAGUCUCCCUCUUUACUUGCUCUUAACAUGCUCUGAUAUCAUCUUAUCUGUCACACCCCGAAACCCGCUACCAAUUUGGUCCGGCUCGAGCGCGUCGGACAGACGCCGAACGGACAGCACCUUCCCUGUCCGCCCAAGGCAAAACGACGAGAUCAUGUACAACAAGUUCCCAGGAAAUCAACUUGAAUACAUACACGAUCAACAACAACCACGAGAGCACAACCAGUGCUAAACAACCAAGAGCAAGCAUCACCAGUAGAGUACAUACAAGUGAAUAAAAGAGAGAUACUAACUAACUAUUACAACCAUUCAACCAUUAUUUACAUUGAUUACAUUUACAUUCUUCCAAAACAUAAACAUAAAGUUUACAAUUCUCCAACUUAUCUCACCCUAUACAUCAUCUACUCUCAAGUACAUAGGGUAGCUCUAAUGCAAAAAGGAAGGUAAGCUACUACAACUACUAGGGCGCUAAGCCCCUACCACGAUCCUAAACCGGCGCGCUUGUACUCGGCACUGCAACAAAGUAGGGUGAGAACUACAAAUAGUUCCCAGUGGGUUCGGCCGUCGACUCCGCCGAUCUCCUCACUAGGUCUAAGCAGGCAUUGGCAGAUAGAUAGAUAGAUAACUUGAAAGCGAUAACAAUAAGAAAAGUACAGGUACUCUACCAUUCCUUAAUCUAAUAUAAUGAAUGCAUGCACUACAUAGUAAAGGCUAGCUACUAUGCUACUAUGUCCAACAACGAUGCUAUUCAUUAAAUCACCCAAUCAUUUGGCUAACCCGUGGGCUCGCCUUCUAUCUCGCGUCUCAAUCUCACGGCCCCCUUAUAGGCGCCACAUCUACUCGAUCACACUGAUGAGGAUCCGCUCACUCACCCGACUCACAACACACUCUCUACGGGGAGGAUCCGCUCACUCGCCCGACUCACAACCUACUCUCUACGGGGAGGAUCCGCUCACUCGCCCAACUCACAACACACACACACUCUUUACGGGGAGGAUCCGCUCACUCGCCCGACUCACAACACACUCUCUACGGGGAGGAUCCGCUCACUCGCCCAACUCAACACAGGUACCACAACCCAAUCUCUAUCUCACAGGUGAGGAUCAGCUCACUCACCCGACUCACCUGGGAAGGAUCAGCUCAAUCGCCCAAGACCGUCUGCGGGACCCAAAAGGCUAUCCCUAUCGUGUGACAAUUCCGGAGUGCACUGCUUGUGUGGAGCGACCACCCCAAGCUUUGAAUAGACAUAUGAGUAUGAUCAAAUCCUCAUCACAGAGGAUACCCUACCACUCUAGACAACAUCAUUUGGGAGCUAGUUCAUCCCUAGGUUCAACAUGCAAUAAGUGUUUCCAUUUUACUUUACUUAUCAUGCCACUCGUCAAGUUAUUCAUUUAUCUAGAUGCCACUCGUUCUUUGGUUCUCGUCAGCACAAGAUUAAGUUCAUCAUUUACUUUACCACUAUAGGGUUCUAAGUCACAAGUUCCUAUUCUCAUGCAUCCUAAGUCAAGUGCCAAACUCAUGUUGCUACACUACUAAGGAUCAUGCAAGGAUGGAAAUGCAACUAUUUAAUACCCUAUUAUGCAUAAUAGUUACACUAGUCCACAUGCCAAUAGGUUUUCGCCUACCUAGGAUCAAAUCAACAUUUAUCAUCUCAUUAUAGGGUUACUAAUCAACAUAUCUCAAUCUCAUGCAUACAAGGCUCAAGUGUUAAACAAGUAAUACAACACUACCUCUAACAUGCAAGAAUAUAUAGCAACUAAUUAAGCACCCUAUAAUGCAUCAUGCUCAAAUGCAUAAUUGAUCAACUAUAAUACUUAGACAUAGCGAGCAGUUCAACUGCUUCGGGAUGGUCACCACCUACCUUUUAUAGCGUUCCGAUUGCUCGUCGUCACUCGCAAUCGGCCUCCCGCGGCGCACGCCGCUCUGCUCGACCCAACUCACGCGCGACCACCGAACGACCUCCGAUCUGCAAUCCGAAAAUUAAAGGUCUUCGAUUUCUCGUUACGAUGCUCGGAACCCGAUCCCACGAUUUAUGGAUGCCACCUCGGCCCUCCAGGCAAAAACGAAUGCCGGAAGGUUCUUUUCUUCAAUAUCUUUGCACCGACUCGACGAAUCACCGAACCGACUUCGCCAAUGCGUCAGAAUACCUAGCAAUUAGGUUUACAACCAUCCUAAUGAGAUCAAAACCCUAGAUUUUCCAAAACCCCAUUUUGGAGUCCUAGUUUACAACUACGGCAAAAUCCACCGUUAAUCCUCUAGAUUCUAGCAUUUAUCAUCUAUUUAGCAUGCUAAGAUUCCAAAUAAACCAUUUCUAGAGAUUAAAAUCCAAGCUCUAGUGAUUCACCAUUAAUGAGCAUCAAAGCUUACCUCAACUAAGUUUCUUCUCCAAGCAAAGGAAGAAGAAGAUGAUCGAAACCUUUCUCCAAGCUCCAAUCUCCACCCUUCUCCUCCUCUUGAUCAACUUCUACAGAGAAAGGAAGCUUCCUAGAGAGAGAGAGGGUGUUCUUUUAGGUCUAGGUCAUGAGAAAUGAAAGGGAGAAGAGAACCCUUGCUCUUAUACUCUCUCAUAAGUGCACAAAUUGCACAAAAGACCCUCAACUCUCCAAAUAAUGCACUGCCCCCGCGGGGCCAUUUUUUGUAUAAGGGACCGGUCCUUGGACUUGAGGGACCGGUCCCUGUAGGUCCAGAAAUGCAGCAUUUUAGGACUUAGCCAAAUUUUCAGCUUUUUCACCGUUUCUUCUCCGUUUUCGCUCAUUUUCGCUCGUUUGGCCUCCGAUUCUUUUCAAAUCGAACUGAGACUCUCCAAAUAUGUUUUCGAACGUGUUUUCAUCAUCUUUUCAUCCACGCUAACGCCAAAUUUAGUUCACGACCCAACAUAGUCUUUCGGGUCCCUCUUUGCGCCUACACGCAGCGAAACGCCCGAGUGCUUCCGGACUUAACCGGAACUUCACCGGAACCAUUCUAAUGGCUCUCCAACCAAAUGUACCGUAACUUCAUGAUUUUAGAAGUCCGGUACUUUACAAGAAGGGUCAGACCUAGUAGUCAUCAUAUUCAUCUCGCGUUCAGGUAGAGAUUCCUUCUUCUUCUUUUAUACGAAAGGUCGAGUAUUACAAAAGUAGCAAUCUUUCGCAAAAUGGUUCAUCUUCCCACACAUAAAGCAACCAAAGUUGUCUCCACUUUCCUCAAGUUUAGGUUUCUUAAAGUUUGGGUUGAACUUCCUACGGUGGAAAGGCUUAUUCUUAAAGUUCCGGUGAGGCUAGAAGUUUCUAACCUUAUUUUUAGGAUUCUCUAAUAGGUUGGCUUGGGUUGAAGGUUCACUGGGCUUCUUAUCCCUAGCUCGGUUCGACUCUUCUAUCCUAAUGGAUCUUAGGACAUAAUUCAGGGAUAGCUCUCUUUGAUUGUGGUUAAGAUCGUUUGUAUGGUUCGACCAAGAGGAUGGCAACUUAUCUAUAAGGGCGGCAAUUAAAAAACUUUCAUCAAGAUCUACACCACUAGAUCUAAGCUGCUCAAUUAUAUGCUCAAAAUCAUGAAGCUGGUCAGACAUGGACUUAUUAUUUACCAACUUAAAUUUAAUUAGAUCAGAUGCCUGGUAUCUCUUCUGGGUAGGAUCAACUUGCCCGUAUUUAUUUUCUAAGGAUGUCCAAAGUUCCUAGCUGUUUUAGCACUACAGUAUGUGUCAUAUAAUUUGUUAGAUAGGGUACUAAGAAUCCGCUUUAAACAAUGGUAGUUGAUCAUGUUAGGGUAAACAGGAGGUACGGUUCUUGUAGCAUACCGGAUUUUAAAAUAAGGAUAAAAAUAAAUAAAAAUAGUGUGAGAUACUAUUUUUAUUGGAUUUAUAGAAGUAAAAUAUAAGUCGGGAACGGCUCGUGCGGUAAUCAGAGCGAGAACAGAAGAUUUUGAAUUUUCUGUGCGAAUCGAGGCUAUUAUUUUAGCAGAAAAUGCACAGUGUCAGAAAAUUUCAAAAAUCUGGGAAUAUGUCAAAAUUAUUUUUAUGAGGCUAGAUUUAAAGUUUCAUGUCAUUCUGACACCCGGAAGGUGAAAAAUAAAAUCCAACAGUUAUCUGAUAAAGAUUACAGUUCGGUACAGCUUUCGGUGACCAAACGGGGUCAAAACUGAAAGAUUAAAAUUUUUUUCGUUAAUUUAAGCAAAACCGAACAUGACUGUCAAAUUUGAGCUCAAACGGAUAUUCAAAGGGCUUCGGCGAAAGAUAUCAGAUUUCGUACUGCCUGAAGUGAAUAGUGUAUGCUACUAUUGGGGUGUUGACUAUAAGUAGAAGCUUCUAGUCUUCUUCUUCUUCACAGCCACCACCACCCCCACAACACCACACGUUCAUGGUGGUAGUGAGAGAAAUCCUCACUUUCUCUCUCUAAAUAACUUUCUCAUCUCUCUAGAUCUUUGCCCAAAUUCACGGCGUUGGCGGAGAACGAGCUUGCGAACGCGUUGGGAGCGACGGAUCGAGCUUUCGUGCACCCGUUGGAGCGGCGUGCUUCCGUCUCGGCGUUCACUUUUUGGUAAACUUUUGGGAUUUGGCUUAAUCCUCAACCUUAAGUAUUCUAGUAGCCUCUAAUGAGCAUUCUUAGCAUGUUGCUCCAUUUAAUUUGGAUUAUUUAGAGGUAAUUGCAUGUUAGGGCUCAAAAAUAGGAUUUUGAAAUAUGUGAGGGUUCGAUCUAAAUUGAGCCUGUAUAAACCUAAUUGCUAGGUUUUCUGACGGGCUGGCGAAGUCGGUUCGGCGAUACGACGAGGCUACGCGAAGAUAUUGAAGGAAAGGCCGAUUUCGGUACAGAUUGCCGCAGCUCGCGGCGUAAGCUUCUAAAAAUCACGAAACUGGAAUCGUAGCAUCAUGACAUCACCUAAAGUCUUGGAGCUAAGAGAGUCGGGGGCACGAAGGGUCGCGUGGAGCACUCGGUGGGUUUGACCUCGCUACAAAUGAGAAAAUCUCAUUUAUGUGAAUUUAAGUAGCGUAAAAUAGAAAAUCACGCAUUUUCAUGAAAGAUGCAUUAUUUGUGAAUUUUAGAAUGCUUGAAAUGCUUAUGUUAUAUACAAUGCAUUUUCGGACCUCUAUGUAGUAGAGAGUUUUCGUGUUGGGCUUUGCCUUAUGGAUAGCAUUCUUAAUUGUGGCUUUAGAUCGUGUUGUAUUUAGUGAAUAUGACAAGUAUAAAUGCAUAUGUUAUAUACAAUGCAUUUUCGGACAUCUAUGUAGUAGAGAACUUGUAUGUGAGACUUAGGCAUGGGUUUAGCAUUCUAAUUGGGACUUGGAAUCAUGCUCCAUAUAGUAGACAUGACAAAUAUAAUAUGCCUUGGACAUAAAUCUUAUUUGGACAUAAGAGAAUACAUUAGGCCAUAAAGUGGCUUUGGACUUGAAUAACUUGUGAGUUAGGGAGCUAAUGUCGUAAUGCGACAUCAGGCUUGAGCUAUGAAUGAGUCUAGCAAAGUAAUGCCAUAGAGAGGCAUUUGACUUGAAUGAUAUGUGAAUUGUAUGUGCAUAUUAAUAUUAUGAGAAUUAUGCUAUGUUGAUAGUUGCAUACGGACGCAUUGAAACCAUUUGUUAGUGAAUAGAUGCAUGUUAAUAUUUAUAUGCAUUAUGGAAUACAUGCUAGGUACAUAUUAGCAAUGUGAGAUCAUGCUAGAGAGUAUGCGUAUUAACCUAUUAUUCAUAGAGUAAGCUAAUGUCAUAAAGAGGCAUUGGGCUUGGAAUUUGUAUAUUAAGCUAAUGUCAUAAAGCGACAUUGAGCUUGGGAUAUGUAUGAACCUAGUAAAUAAUGCCAUAAAGAGGCAUGAAAAUUGGAACAUGCUUGGAUACAGUAAUGUUCUAGUGUCCUAAAGAGGCACUAGACUUAGUGAAUGUUGGAACUUCACUUUGAGACAUAGACUAGACCCUUGGGGUUACUAGUAGCUAUUCCAUGUUAGAGACAUGAUGACGAGAUCCGUGACAUGAUGACUAUGGUUACUUGCCAUUUGUGCUCAUUCGCACAUGCUUGUGAGGGUCGCUCCCUGCAAGCCGGCACUCCGUAGUUGGCCUUUUGCGACGCAGUUCGCGCGUGCGGGAUUGAGACACCUGUAGGGUCACGUGGGACAGUCUCAUUCUAGAGUGGGAUGACGAGCUACCACGGGCAGCUAGGUGGCGAGGAGCCUGUAGGGUCUGGUGGGACAGUCUCAUUCCUCGAGGGGGAAUGUUGGAGCUACCACCGGCAGCUAGGCGGCACAACUUGGACUACACAUGUGUUGGUCCUGGAUAAGAUUGAAUGAUGAACCUUAAUCGAUUAAAUGACAAUCACUACUUGAUAGUAUAUCGUAGUUGGAUUUAGCUGACAUUGGGAUUUGUGGUACCCUUAGUUGCCAUGAUAGUACAUACUAGAUAUGUAUUGAAUUUUGGGACAUAUUGUAUACUUGAUAGUAUUACUUGUUGCAUCACAGCUUACUUGGUAGCCAUGAUAGAGCAUACUUGUUAUAUAUCGGCAUAUUGGAUUCAUGAUAGAGUAGAUGUACUCCAUGUUCAUAUCAUGUAUACUUGUGGCAUAGUAGUAUAGCAUUUCAUUAUAUGCUUUUAUUUCCGCAGUUGUUAUUUCAUUUUCUACAUCUGCUCAUGACUUGGGCCUAGUGGUGCAUUUUGCUAAGGUCAGUAAUUGCCCACUGGGAACUAUAAAUUAUAGUUCUCACGCCCCCUAUUUUAUGUUUUCUUUCAGAGCCUUCCACUCCGGGAGAGUCUCGGGAUCGCGGGAAAGGAAUCGCCUCGGGCUAACUAGCGAGGGAUUAUUGGAUAGGUGGUCCACCUCUCUUUUGUUUCUUUUUGGAGAGGUGGAGAGAAUUGUACCAUUUGUAGAGACCACCCCUUUUUGUACUUUUGAGAUGGAUACUGUAUAACUUUAUGCUUUACUUUUAUUGUUUAGUUAUGUUUUAUCUACUAUAGAUUCUAGAUGUAUACUUGCUCUGAUAUCUCUAGAUGUAGUUCAUCUCUUAUCUUAUUCUUCCGCUUUGUUGUAGACGCCUUAUAUGUAUAGGCAUAUGGCGGGUCUGGGCGCGCUACCGGGAAGGCCUUCGCAGGUCCCGGGGCGUGACAACUCUAGAUGUAGAAGUAGUUACAGUUUCAAUGGAGGGAUGAGUGGAUCCAGUCUGGGCUUGGCUUCGAGUAAUCAGUCUAUUGACCACAGUCUGGGUUGCACUUUCAGGUGCAGAUCCAUUGCCAAUCUCGGCAGAAUCCGAGAUAGCAGAAACCAGCCCAAAUAUGGUGAGCCAGAACCUUAUUUGGUUCUGCCACCUCUUAAAAUUACGACCAUCAAAAGUAAAAGGUUUCGCUGAAUCCUCCAUAAUAAAAAAAAUCUGUUCACAGAUUAAUUCUACUGUUAUGUCAUAAAACAGUUUUGAAUUUUAGAAAAAUAACAGUAAGAUAUAUAUUAAUUGUAGGAAAGAAAUAUUUUAAUUUCUAUAAUAAAAGAAACAGAAAGAUUAAAUCAAUUUCGCUUCUAGAUUGUUGCAAAAUCUUUCUCAUCUUUUAUUAAAAUAUUCGUUAAUAACAAUUUGAAAGUUUAAUUUCAGGUUUAGAAAAAUUUCGAGAAAGAAAAUAAAUAACAAAUACUAUAAAGAAAAGGUUUAGAUAAGACCUGUGGAUCGAGGCGUACAGAGCACUGUUCUAAAAGCGAAAUUGCCCCUCCACAUGCGAGGCUUCUCGGCAAUUACUUCCAGUGAUACAACUACCACGUUCCACCCGUCGGCACUGUCUGCCACCACGAAUGACGCACCUCGCACAGUCGAUGGAUUUUCCCGUGGGGGUAGUAUUCAUGAUUCAGAUUAGUAUUUAUAUGUAUAUGGGUAUCAGGUAUUGCAGGUCCAUGGCUUCCAAUAGAUGCAAGUACCUACUAUUAAUUACCCCCGUAGAAUUAGGGCACCUUCGAUUAAGAGACCUUUAUAGAUGGGAUGAGAUGAAUCGUGUCUUGGUUUAUUGAAUCCUAAGUAUAUGUAUUAGGAUUCAGUUGGAUUUGAGAUUGACUAGGUCCUAAGUAUAUGUGUUAAGACCUAGUCGAUAUUAAACUCUAUGUAUUAGAGUCUAAUUGGCUCUAAGUAUAUGUCUUAGAGUCCGAUUAUAUUCACCUUGGUUGUGAUCCGACCCCAACUAUAUGUAUUGAGGUGGGUCGAAUUAUCCGAAAGUAGACUAAUUCCCGAGUAUAUGUAUCAGGAUUAAUCCAGUUUAAUAUAUUUUCCACUCUAGUUAUAUGUGCUAGAGUGAGGAUCUGACUAAGCCCUAAGGUAUUGCGUUAGGGUUCGUCGGAUUUGAUUUGCAUGAGCUCCAAGUAUAUGUAUUAGAGCUCGAUCGGGUAUGGAUUUCACUCUAGGUAGAUAUGCUAGAGCAAAAGGCUGACUAGACCCAAAGUGUAUGUGUUAGGACCAGUCGGGCUUGGUUUGACUUCGACUCUAAAUAUAUGUGCUAGAGCAAAAGGUUGACUAGACCCUAAAGGAUAUGUAUAAAGGGUUAGUCGGAUGACCUCUAAGCAUAUGUGUUAGAGUUCGAAUAAAUUUGAUAUCAUUUGACUGAAUUCUAAGUACAUAAUUUAGAACUCUGUCAAUUUGAAGAUGAUUUUGCCUUAGUUAUAUGUGCUAAGGCGAUUGACUUAGCCCUAAGUAUAUAUAUUAGGGGUAGUCGAUAUUUAAUUUUCAUUCUAGGUAUAUGAGCUAGAGUAAAGAAAAGGUUCAUGAUGAACUUUGGGCAUGAGAUUUGGGUAUUGGUUCAUAAGAUUCGGGUAUAUAGGAUAUGAACAUGAUUCAGUUCAUGAGGUUAAGAUAUAGCUCAUGUGGUUCAUGAGAUUUGGAUAUAGUUUGGUGCAUGGCUCAUAGGAUUUGGUAUAUGGUUCAUGAGGUUUGGUAUAUGGUUCAUGGGAUUCGGUCCAUGGGCUUGGGUUAUGGUUUAUGGUUCAUGAGGUUUGGUGUAUGGGAUUUGGUUCAUGAAUUUGGAUAUGGUUCAUGGAUGAGGUUUAUGAAUUUGGUUCAUGGUUCAUAGUUCAUGGUUCAUGAAAUUGGUUUAUGGUUCAUGAGGUUUAUGGACUUCGUUUAUGAAUUUGGUUCAUAGUUCAUGAACUUGAUUCAUUUGGUUCACGAACUUGGUUUAUUGUUCAUGAGAUUUGGGUAUUGGAUUUGUUUUAUAAACUUGAAUAUGGUUCAUUGGGUUUGGUAUAUGAGAUUUGGUUCAUGAACUUGGGUAUGGUUCAUGGGAUAUGAUGUAUGGUUCAUGUGAUUUGGUUCAUGGAUAUGGUUCAUAGUUUAUGAUUCAUGAAUUUGGUGUAUGGUUUAUGGCUCAUGGUGUAUGGUUUAUGGUUCAUGAUGUAUGGUUCAUGAACUUGGUUCAUUUGGUUCAUGGUUCAUGGUUCAUAAGGUAUGGUUCAUGAACUUGGUUUAUGAUUCAUGAACUUGGUGUAUGGUUUAUGGGUUUGGUUUAUGGUUCAUGAGAUUCGGUUCAUGAACUUGGGUAUGGUUCAUGGUUCAUGGUGUAUAGUUCGUGAACUUGGCUUAUGAGAUUUGGUUUAUGGUUCAUGAGACUUGGUUUAUGAAUUUGGGUAUGGUUCAUGGAAUAUGGUGUAUGGUUCAUGAACUUGGUACAUGGGAUGUGGGAUUUGGUUCAUAGUUUAUGGGAUUUGGUGUAUGGACUUGAUUCACGAACUUGAUUAUAGGAUUUGGUUCAUGAUUCAAGGAAUUUGGGUUCAUAAACUUGGUUCUCGGUUCCUGAUUCAUGGGAUUUAGGUCAUAAACUUGGUUCAUGAAUCCAAGUUGGAAGUCGGGUAUGGGUUCUAUUUAUGAUUGGAUUUGGAUUUAGGGUUAUUUGUAGACUGGAUUGGAUUUGAGUUUCGGUUUAUUUGUGGACUUGAUUUGGUUUGAAUUUGAAUUUAAUUUGUGUUUUGGGUUUGGGUUUUAUUUGGGUUUUGGGUUUGGGUUUUAUUUGUGGGCUUGGUUUGGUUUUGGUUUGGAUUUGAUUUGGGUUUUGGGUUAGGGUUUAUUUGUGUACUUGGUUUGGAUUUAGGUUUGAUUUGAUUUUGGUUAUGGGUUUGGGUUUAUUUGUGGACUUGAUUUGGUUUGGGUUUGGAUUUGAUUUGGGUUCAAGUUUGGGUUUAUUUGUAGACUUGAUUUCGUUUGGAUUUGGAUUUGAUUUGGGUUCAAGUUUGGAUUUAUUUGUGGACUUGAUUUGGUUUGGGUUUGGAUUUGAUUUGGGUUUUGGGUUUGGAUUUAUUUAUGGACUUGAUUUGGAUUUGGGUUCAAGUUUGAAUUUAUUUGUGGACUUGAUUUGGUUUGGGUUUGGGUUUAUUUAUGGACUUGAUUUGGAUUUGGGUUCAAGUUUGGGUUUAUUUGUGGACUUGAUUUGGUUUGGAUUUGGAUUUGAUUUGGGUUUUGGGUUUGGGUUUAUUUGUCGACUUGGUUUGGAUUUAGGUUCAAGUUUCGGCUUUGUUAGUGAACUUGAUUCGGAUUUGGGUCCUUAUGUGGACUUGGUUUGGGUUGGGUUUGGAUUUUAUUUGUGGACUUGGUUUGGAUUUGAGUCCGGAUUUGGGUUCUAUUUGUGGACUUGGUUUUCUUUUCAAUUCUAUUUCGGGUCCGAGGAAAUCCUCUUUUGAUUUUGAAAUUCGAUUUGGGGUCCGAAUAAAUCCCCUUUUAAUUUUGCAACUUGAUUUGGGGUCCAAAGAAACCUUCUUUUGAUUUUGCAAUUUGAUUUGGGGUCCGAAGAAAUCCCCUUUUGAUUUUUUUUUGAUUUGGGGUCUGGAGAAAUCCCCUUUUGAUUUCGCAAUUGAUUUGGGGUCCGAAGAAAUCCCCUCUUGAUUUUGCAAUUUGAUUUGGGGUCCGAAGAAAUCCCCUUUUGAUUUUGCAAUUUGAUUUGGGGUCCGAAGAAAUCCCCUUUUGAUUUUGCAAUUUGAUUUGGAGUCCGAAAAAAUCCCCUUUUUGAUUUUUAUUUGAUUUAGGGUCAGAAGAAAUCCCCUUUUUAUUUCGAUUUGAUUUGAGGUCCGAAGAAAUCCCCUUUUGAUUUCGCAAUUAAUUUGAGGUCCGAAGUAAUUCCCUUUUGAUUUUGCAAUUUGAUUUGGGGUCCGAAGAAAUUCCCUUUUGAUUUUGUAAUUUGAUUUGGGGUCCGAAAAAAUCCUCUUUUUAAUUUUUAUUUGAUUUGGGGUCCGAAGAAAUUUUCUUUUUAUUUCGAUUUGAUUUUGGGUUCGAAGAAAUCACCUUUUGAUUUGUAUUUGAUUUGGGGUCCGAAGAACUUCCCAUUUAAUUUUGGUUUGAUUUGGGGUCCAAAGAAAUCCCCGUUUGAUUUAUGAUUUGGGGUCCAAAGAAAUUCCUGUUUGAUUUUGAUUUGAUUUGGGGUCCGAAGAAAUCCCCAUUUGAUUUAUGAUUUGGGGUCCGAAGAAAUCCCCGUUUGAUUAUAAUUUGACUUGAAUCUAAACUGGUCUGAAAGUUUUGUGGAUUGAUUCAAUGUUCUCGAAAGGGAUCGAAGGGUCCAAAGAAACGGGGAAUCUUUGAUUCCCCUCCCCUCUUCUUUCGAAAACACCAAACCGGUGAUUCUGGAGAUGACAUUGGUGAAGAUGAUGACGGUGGCGCGGAUCUGUUCGGCCGUCGAAUUUGAUUUGACAUUUUCGGAAGAUGUUGAAGGGUCCGAAGAAACGGGGAAUCGGAGAUUCCCCUCCACUCUUCUUUCGAAAACACCAAAUCGGCGAUGCUGGAGAUGACGUCGGUGAAGAUGAUGACGGUGGCUCGGAUCUAUUCGGCCGGUGAAUUUGGUUUGAUAUUUUCAAAAGAGAUUGAAAGGUCCGAAGAAACGGGAAAUCUUUGAUUCCCCUCCCCUCUUCUUUCGAAAAUACCAAACCGGCGAUGCUGGAGGUGGUCACGGCAAUGUAAAUCAUCCAUCCCAUCAAUUAACAGCUUCGAAUGGAGUAUCGAGAGGUUCGAAGAAACGGGAAGCCAUUGGUUCCUCUCUACUCUCCCAUCGAAGUCGUCUAGAUGGUAUGGAUGACUAUGAUAGCAGGACUUAAAAAAAAAAGAAAAAAAAAGGGUGAGAAAAAAGAUUUUUUUUUUGAUAUGUUUUAUUAUAUUUUUUUUUCUUCUUUCUUNGGCGAUCUCUCAUCCUUUGAUUUUUUUUUUACGUCGGAACGUGGGUAGCAGAGGUGGGAAUACUAUUAUCUCUCUCCGUCUAUCGUCCGACGUUUCCUGUUGAUCAGAUGCCAGAUCGGAUGAAGCGGCUUGGCGACGGCGAUCUCUCCUCCUUGAUCAAAUGACGGAUUGGAUGAAGCGGCUCGGCGAUCUCUCCUUCUUUCUGUGGCUCGGCGAUAUCUCCUUCUUUCCGCGGCUCGGCGAUCUCUCCUCCUUUGAAUUUUUUUGUACGUCGGAACAUGUGUAGCAAAGGUGGAAAUACUAUUAUCUCUCCUCUUUUUUUCGCAAUCUCUCUAUAUCGCUCUCGUCUCUCUAUUUUUUUCUCUCCUCCGUCUAUCGUCCCUCGUAUUGAUUUCGAUUCUCAUAUUUAUAAUAGGAGGGGCAGCGAGAGAUAUUUUGAGGAGUCGGUUAGGGAUUCAAAAUUCAAAAUCAAAUUUUGAAUCGGUUGUUGGAUGAAUAGGUAUUCAAAAUUCGAAUAGAUGUGGUUGGUUGGGAGAUAUUUUGGGAGUUGGUUGGGAAUUCAAAAUUCGAAAUCGAAUUUUGAAUCGGUUGUUGUGGUUGGUUGAAAGAUAUUUUAGGGGUUGGUUGGGGAUUCGAAAUUCGAAAUCGAAUUUUAAAUCGGCUGUUGGAUGGUUGGAGGAUAUUUUGGGAAUUGGUUGGGGAUUCGAAAUUUGAAAUCGAAUUUUGAAUCGGUUGUUGGAUGGUUGGAAGAUAUUUUUGAAAUUGGUUGGAGAUUCGAAAUUUAAAAUCGAAUUUUGAAUGGGUUGUUGGAUGGUUGAAGGAUAUUUUGGGAAUUGGUUGGGGAUUCGAAAUUCGAAAUCGAAUUUUGAAUGGGUUGUUGGAUGGUUGGAGGAUAUUUUGGGAAUUGGUCGGGGAUUCGAAAUUCGAAAUUGAAUUUUGAAUGAGUUGUGGUUUGAAAUCGAACUUCGAACAGAUAUUUUAUAGGGUGUGGAUAUGGGCCGUCGUUGAUCAGGCCCAUUUCAAUGAAAUUUAUUGGGCACAAAUGAUAAUAUUUAAUGGACUGGAAUGAGGCCCGAAUUGUUGUAUAGGUCUGAAAUUUUAAAGUGCUUUCAUGAGGCCCACUAACUCACAUUUAUGAUGGGCUUAUUAUGGGUUAUAAUUAUCGGCCUCAAAAUUUUACGGUCAACAUGAGACAUAUUAGGAUUGUAUUUUGAUUAUGAUUAGGAUUGUUUCAUCCUAUAAGUAUUAUUUCACUUCAAACAGGCACGAUUUCAAUGUGGCGCAAGACGAACCCAACAAGCUUCAGAUCCAGCAAAGAAAACUUGGUGAAAAUCGGCAGAAAAGAUUAAUUGCGAGAAAGUAGGAAAUGACGAGGUAGGGUUUAGGUAUGCUCGGGUUCCUCUCGAACUCACGCAACCCCCUCCCUGUGUAUAACAAGAUAAGGCUAAGAUUAUACGGAUAAAGAUUAGGAUAAAGAUAAAAACGAAAAAAUAAAUAUAAAAUAAAAUAAAAUAAAUCGGAUGUAUGAACUGCACGCACGCACCGCCGCCCGCCAGACCCAGCUCGUGCUCUUGCUCGUGCCAUACGUGUGUUUAAACGAGAGUAUAAAUCUCAUUUUCUCCCAAGCAACUAGUUUAAGAAUAAAGCAAUAUAUAUAUAUAUAUAUACCAUCAACAUCCAUUUGGUUUUCAAUGUGGGACUAAAUCUCACACAUGAAAACUUAAGUUGGGCUCCAAAGCAAAGCCCAUUAAUAAUAAUUGGGCUCCAAAGAAAUCUUAAAAAGUUUUAAAUCACAAAAAUCUAAUAAAAUCCAAUAAUAACUUCCUGCUAUGAGACCAAUACUGAAGAAUGAAAGAAAUAACUUUCUUCUUUAACCAUGCAUGCAACUAUAGGAUAAAGUAUUAAUACAAGAACUGUGAAGAGAAACUGAAUACACUAUUUAUGUGUCUUAACAUUCUAAAUGCCGAGUUGUACGAUGGUAACUCGUGCCAAAUACAGAUUUUCUCUACUAAUGAUAAAAUAGAAAUUUGAGUCACUAGAGUUGUGAAGCAGUGUAUUAGUAUACCGACCUUUUUACAAUCCCCAGUGGGGAUAAUUUAUCAUAUACUGAGAAAAACAAAUUUGAGAUAACAUUUUCUUUUUACACACUUGUAGGCACCUUCUUACAAAUGUCACUUGAGUAAAGAUAGAAGAUAAAUUGUAAACAAAUAUUUGUGAUACACAAGAAAGAUAAGCCUAUUGCAAGAUGAGAAAAUUAUAUAUCUAUUCACUACUUCCCAUAGCUUCUUCUUUCCCUCCUCUCUCAAGAUUUAGGAGAAUAAUGGAUCUCAUCGCUUAUGAUGAUAAUGUAUAUUAAGAAUGAAACUAGGCCACACUUAGGAGGAGGGAGCAUGGUCAAAUCCAAUGCUCGAGCAUCUAUAUUAACAUCAUGCCAUUGGAUUUGAUCAAGAGUAUUUGAAGUUGCUAGAAACCAUAUUCAACGGGUUAUGGUUUCUUUGUGGGCUUUCUUUGCAAAUAGCCCCCUUACAAUUUUUUUUUUAAAAUUGGCCCUGUCAAAAAUUUAUUUGCAAAAAUGGCCCUGGCCCCGCCACGGAAGCGCCACGUCAGCGCCACGCGGGCGGGGCUGGGCCAGAUGGUUAAGUUGAACACGGUGAACCAUUCACCGUGUUCAAUACAAAGUGUUUGUAUUGGACACGGUGAAUGAUUCACCGUAUCCAAUACAAAAAAGCUAAGAUUGAAAUAUUUGUAUUGGACACGGUGAACCAUUCACCAUGUCCAAUACAAAUAAUUGGACACGGUGAAUGGUUCACCGUGUCUAAUACAAAUACCUCCAACUUAGCCAUUGUUGGGGUAUUUGUAUUGGGCACGGUGAAACAUUUACCGUGUCCAAUACAAAAAACUUGUAUUGAACACGGUGAAUGGUUCACCGUGUUCAACUUAAAUACCUGGGCCCGCCCUGCCCGCGUGGCGCUGACGUGGCGCUGGCAUAGCAGGGGCAGGGCCAUUUUUGCAAAUAAUUUUUGGACGGGGCUAUUUUUAUAAAUAAAAUUUGUCAGGGGGCUAUUUGCAAAAAAAGCCCUUUCUUUGUAGAUAUGCAUCAAGUAGAGACAAACAUGAACAUUGUAAAUUGAAUAAUGUUCAUGAAAAAUGUAGAAAUUUCUCAACUGAAAAUCCGUACUAUUAUUCUAGAUAUAGGGGGUGUUUGGCCAAGUAUUUAAAAAGUACUUUUGGGUUGAAAAAUGAUUUUCGGCUCAAUACAACGUUUGACAACCUCAAUUUUAAAGCCUGAUUCUGCUUUUCAGAAUAAGAAAACUGAUUUUGAAAGCCCAGAAUCAGAAGCAGAAAAAAACUGCUUCUUGAAAUUUGAUUCCGAUUUUAGACUCAAACUUCAAAUUUUUAUUUUAAUUCUAAAUUCAAUGUUUAAUUUUAAUUUUAAUUUUAAUUUUUAAAUUUCAGAUUUAUAUUUGAAUUUUAAAUUUUAACUUUUAAAUUUUAAAAUUUGAAAAAUAGAUUUCAAUCUUUAAAUUUUAAAUUUUAAUUUUAAAUUUCAACUCUCACCAUUUAGAUUUUGGAAUUUCAAAUUUCAAAUUUCAAAUUUAAGAUAAAAUUUAAAACUUAACAUUUUAGAUUUUAAAUUUUAAAUUUAAAAUUUUUAAAAUUUUAAAUUUUAAAUUACAAGUUUUAAUCUCCAAAUUAUAAAUUUUAAAAUUUUAAAUUUAAAUUAUUAAUUUGUAAAAUUAAAUUCUAAUAUUCAAAUUUAACAUUUUAAUUAUAAAUAUUUCAAAUUUAAAUUAUUAUAUUUUAAAUUCAUAAUUAUUAAAUUCAAUUUCUUUUCAAUUUUAAAUUUAAUUUAAAUUUUAAUAUUUAAAUUUUAUAUUCAUAAUUAUUUUAAAUUUCAAAUUCAAAUUAAAUUUAAUUAUUGUACUUAAAUAAAUUUGAGAAUUUAAAUUUAUAAUUUCAAAUAAUUCAAAAUGUUAUAUUUUAAAUUUAUAUAUUAUAUUUAUCUAAAUUUAAUAUUAAAUUUUAAAUUUAAAUUUAUAUUUUAAUUAUUAAUUUUAUUUUUUAAUUUUUAUUUAAAUGUUAGAUUUUAAAUUUUAAAUUUAAAUUAAAGUUUGAAUUUAUAAUUUAUAUUUAUAUUUUUAAAUAUUAAAAUUUUAAUAUUUUAAAUUUCAUAAUUAUUUAUAUUUUUAAAUUUAAAUUUAUAAUUUUAAAUUUUAAAGUUCAUAAUUACUUUUAAUUUUAAAUUUUAAAUUUUUAAAUUAUUUUUAAUUAAAAUAUCAAAUUUUAAAUUUUGUAUAAUUUUGAAAUUUAAAAAUUUUAAUUUUAAUUCAAUUUUAAAUUUAGAUUUUAAAUUAUUUUAAAUAAAAUUUAAUAAAAAUAUUAAUUUAUGCAAAGAUCAAAAAAAAUUUGCCAAACAACUUUUCAAAAUCACUUCAGAAAAAUCUCUUUUAUCUAAACUCAGCCAAACGUUCUAUAGCUUUUAACCAAAGUCAUUUCUCUGAACCAAAAUCACUUUUUCGAAAAUCAUUUUUUCAGAAGUUAGGCCAAACGGGCCCUUCUUCUUUCUUCUUCUCUGGUUUGCUUUAUUAUUUUCUAGUUUUUAGAGUUUUAGUUAAUUUUUUUUUUGUUUUAAACAAACAAAAGUGCUAAUCCAGAAAUGCUCAUGUGCAUUUCUCGCCUUCCUCACCACCGACAUCGUCGAGGCCGCGCUCACCGCCGCCCUCUGGGGUAGGUGGUGGGCCGUGUGCGCCCUCCUUUGUCGGCGAGCUUUUCGGCGCCGAGAAAUGCUUUCUCUUUAUCGUCGACGGCGGUGGUGGGGAUGCGGGUUCCCAGAAGUGGGUUUGGUGGGUGCAAAAUCCACUUUCAGCAGAGUGUAAUUAUUUUUCUCCCCCUCCCUCACCGCCGUGCUUCUCGGCCUCGAGAAGUACUUCCUCCUCGUCGCCGGUGGCGGCAGCGGAAGCGGUGGGUUUGUUUAGCGGGUAGAAAAUCCGCUGCAGUGGAGGUGGAGGGUGAAGGCGGAGGAAGAGGACGUGGUACCAUCCUCGCUAUCAUCACGGGGGGUUGCGGAGGCGGUAAAGGAGGGUCGGAGAGAAAAAAAAAAGAAAAGGGUAGUCUGCCUCCGCCUUCGCCGCUUUCUUCGGCGAGAAAAAAAAAACGUGAGAAAAAAAAAGAAGAGAGAAAAAGGUAUAAGCUAAAAGUCCAGACCGAAUCUGCAAAAUCGAAAAAGAUGGCCCAGUUUUACGAAAGCUCAAAAAACUUGUGAAUUUUUUAUGCAAAUUGGUCUAUUAUAUUUAUAGUUUAAUGAGCGAGAAAUUUUACAUUUAAAAUCUUCUAAAAUAUCUAAAAUAUGAUUGGUCAUCUUUAAAUCUGAUAUUAUAAAAUUUAUUAACACUAGUUUAAUCGAUUCUUCCUUUCAACGAAAUUACUAAUUAAACUAAAUCUCUACUAUUUUUAUUGUCUUUGGCGCGCAGAGGCGAUGGCGUGUGGAAACCCUAAACCUUCUCUGAAGCGCUCGCACGGAGGUGGAGCUCCUCCGUGCAAAACCUCUACCUCCUCCUCCUCCUCUAUUCCUCCUCCUAGGGUUCGCUUCGACCCUCCCUCAGGUAAACCACACGAUGACCUCAAUCUCCCUUUCCUAUGCUCGAUCGUCUUUUCUUCAGCAGAAAACGGAGUGAUUCGGAGGUCGAAGAAACAAAACAAAACAAAACAAAACAUAUCUCUAGCUAGAUUUUUUAAUACGAAAUUGUGAAUAAGAGCGAAUUAACUUGUGGAUCGAUCUUCUUUUGAUGCAAUCGAACAUCUCUGUUGGUUUGAUGCGGCUUUAGCGAGAGAUUAGCGUCGCAUUUGGAAAUAUUCAGAUUUGUUAUCGCUCUUAUGAAUAAUUUGGGUGUUGUUUAGAGGGAUUGUAAGAGGCGGUGGUGAUUUUUAAUUGCUUAAAUCUUUUCUCCUUUUUUUUUUCUUUGGAGAAUAUAUCUUUGUGUUUGAAGUGGUGAGAAAUGUGACAACGUUACAUUUAGUUUAGGGGCCAUUUGAUUCAAGGUUUUAUAGUAUUCGAAGUAUGUCAUAUAUUUAAUAUUUGCAAUGGCAAGUUUGUUUCUGACUUAUCAAUCCAUUUGGGUUGGGAAGUCGUUAAGGACUAGUAUAUUUUUAUUAAUGGACUACUAAUGAUUCCCAUCAAGGAUGAAAAGGAGAAUACCUCCUAAUCCAUGAUAAUCUUAUAUUCCCGCCAUUAGAAUCUACAAUAAUCCACUACGUCACUAAUACCUAUUACGACUACCCAACUUGAGUUGAAUUGUAAUGAUUUGAAUAUUUCUAAUAAAAAAUAUGAAGAAUUUUCAGAAUAUUACAAACUGCGAACCAAACGGUCCCUUAAGGCAAUCUACUUGCUUGUGAAUUGGUUCUUUCCAAAUGGCAAGAUAGUUACAAGUAGACAACUAUUCUUCUAUUUAUUGUGAAGUGAUGGUGAGUACCUUAUUAUACUGAUUCAUUUCAUGCAAGGUUAGAUUAUUGUUCUUUAUAAAUUUUUGCUUGCAUUUGUGCUAACUGAAAGAAUCAUCCCUAAUUGCUUUUCUUUAUUAGUUUUUAUCUUAUCUUGUGGCAAAUGUAUGAUGUGAAUUUGGCAUUUGUUCUAAAGAUGACUCUUUAUUGAGUAGAGGCAAGGCAAAGGAAGAAGGUGAAAUUUGCGGAUUCAGUGGGUAAGGACGAUAUAUGCCGUAAACAUAAUACAACUUUUCUUCAGCCUGUAAGGACUCAAUCUCAAAGUAAGUUACCCAUCCUCACUCAGCACUUUGGUUUACUUUUUAUUGUUGGAUUUUUUUUUUUUUUUUGAUGUCUUAUUUUCGUAUGCAGAAACAUAUUUUCUAUGUUUUUCAUGCCACAGAAAGUAAGUAUUAGAUGAAGCUGCUAAUUCUAAUUUUCAAUAACACCUCUUAGCAAAUCGAGCUAAAGAGAUAAAAUGGUUAUUACCUUUCACUCUUUAGAUAUGGUUUAAGUAAUAAUACUGACUAUGACGAGCGUUGUCAUGUACCUGCCAGUUUUCAUCGGAACUAGCCAUACCUUGGCAAUUAAAUUCCUCUAGUAAUGGCAGUGAGCUAUUCCUAGUUGAGAAGCACAACAUACUGUUUUUUAUGUAAAUUUGGUGUGUUAAUUUGGUACCAUUUGUUUCUUGUUGUCCUUGAAUUAGCAUAGAAUUGCUUAGGCUUGGAACAAGAUCGUGUUUGAAAUGCUUCCGCUGGGGCAUCUCUCAUAUUUUAGCCAAUGCUAUUGUCAGGAAGUAGGAACUAAGAUACAUCGGUGUUUGUUGAUCAACUAACUCCAACAUAUACACGAAUUCAGCCUACAAUAUUUUUAGACUUUUUAAACUUGAAUUUAUGAAUAAAAAGAUAGAGUAUGUGCAUCAGAAAUGUUGGCAAGUAUUGUCAAUCCAUUGUUAUUUCUCAUCGCAAAUGGCCUGGUCAGAAAGCUAAUGUGACGAUCUGUCACGCCCCAGAUUCUAGCUCCGUCAUGCCCCGCGACCGCCAAUUUGGUCGGUCCGAGCACACACACAGACGCCUAACGGAUAGAACCUCCCAUGUCCGCCCAAAGCUCAACCACAACAACAAUAAACAUGUAUAAAGAAUUCGCCCAGGAAGAAUUUCGAUAUACACGGCUUACACGAGGGCAAGCAACAGGAGUAAGUGAAAAUAAACUAGUAUUACAUCCAUACAUUGUAUCUUGAUUACAUUAAACAAAAUACAAAGCUUAUAUAAUCCAUUACAUGAUCUUACAUUCUAUUACAACUAUUACAUGUUUGUUUCAUCAACUACAAAAGAUGAAAUACAAAAUGGUACAACUAUACUCGAGGAAAUCCACUACCUAGGUUGUAAUGCCCUUGCCGCGAUCCUCGACCGCCCAGCUUGCGCUAGGAUCUGAAAGGUUAGUGGAGAGAGAACUACUAAAAGUUUUCAGUGGGUUCGACCACCGACCCCGCCGACUCACCCACUAGGUCUAAUCAGGCAUGUGUAGGAAAAGGAAUAGAUAGCAAACCAAACUAAUGCAACUACAAUGCCUGUAAUAAACAACGAGUAUAAUGCUCAUGAUGCAUGCAUUUCUCUUUUACCUUUAUCUUUACCUUUACCCCAUCCUCUUGGUUAACCUUUUGGUUAAACCCAACUCACCAAACCAAAUCCUUUUUUGUCGGGGAGAAUUCCACUACAACCCGACGGGACAGUCUGCUGUGAGAAUUCCGCUACUGCCCAGUGGAUGACAACUCCGGAGCUCACCGCUUGAGGUGGAGCGACCACUCUCAAGCAUAUCAGACUACCUGUGAGUACGAUCCAAUUCUCAACUUUGAGGAUACCAUAUCACUAUUGCCACAAAGUUCAUAAGGUUUUCUUUGUCUAGCAUUCCAUAUUUUUAGGUGCUAAUUAAUCCAUCUAGUCACAAUGUCACCUUGUUUACUAUUGUCAAUCCAACACUUUGCUCAUACAUUCAUAGGGUUUCUAUGUUCAUGGUCCUUUGUCAUUUCACCUGUACCUUUACAAUGAAAGCAUAUAAGAAAUCCCAUAUCUUAGCCACAUAUCACAUUAACCCUACAAUGCAUGAAGUCAACACUAUACACAUACAAACAUGCUCAAAGAGGUGACAUAGACAUAAUGAGAAAUUCGAAUAUUUCGGAUAGCACCACCCAUCUCAUAGGGAUGCCGGAAUGCGAGAAUCCAAGUCUCGCGAUUUUUAGAUGCCUAAUUCUCUCGACCCACGGCAAACGAAGGCAAAAUGAGAUUUUCCUCAAUAUCUUGCCGUAGACUCGUCGGAACUUCGAUCCAAGUCUCCCAACGCUUUGAAUUAACCUUAAUUAGGAAUACAAGAGAUUAAUUUCAUAAUAGAUCUCCAUUCCUAUAAAACUCUAUUUCCAAACCUAGGGUUUACACAUAAUACCCAUAUCCAAAUUUCCUAGGAUUUCAUAGCAUAACCUAAGCUCUUGAAAUCCAAAAACCUCAAAAACUAGCAAAUUAGGGUAAUUAAGCUAAACCCUAACAUAUGAUUGCAAGAGACCUACCUUGGCUCCUUGCUCCACAAAGCCUUUCUUGUUCUUGAGCUUCUUCACUACCAAAACCACCAAUUUCCUCCUUCAAUUCUCCUCCAAUUCCAUCUUGAGGGAGUAAUUCUAGAGAGAGAAAGAGAAGGAGAAGGAGAUGAAGGAGAUGAGGAGGAGGAGAAAACAAGGUGUUCUCUUACAUGAGAAUACCAGGUGGAGGGUUGGGGCUAUUUAAAGACCCCAACAUUUACAAUUAAGCCCCCCACAAAUGCUCACGUUCAGUCCUUACAAUCUGGUCCCUCGCAGGCUGAGUCUCGGUACUCGGGUUGGAGUACCGGUACGCGGGGCUCCCAGUACCGGUACCAGCCACUCAACCUGAGAGCUGCGCAAUUGGGGUUUAAUACAGGGUACCAGUACGCACUGCCCAGUACAGGUACACAACAAGUCCAGUACCGGUACUAGCUACGCGGUACCGGUACACACCCAAGCAGCAACCAAACUCGAGAGCUAGCCUCUCGGGCAAGCUCACAGAGUACCGGUACGCACCUCCAGUACCGAUACUCAGCCUCUCAGGGUCCGAAACCCGAGAGUUGAGCCAAUUGCACUUCUAUUGGGUAUUGGUACUGCAUUGCCUGGUAUCGGUACUCAAUGUUAUUUCUGCAGUUCCAGCAGCUAUGAUGUUUCGGAGUCCGUUUUCGCGUCGGGUUUGCGCCGAAAACACCCAAACACUCCCGAAACACCUUCGAAACAACUCAGGGACUUUACUUAUAACCUACAUACUACACUUUGAUCAAUUUGAUCAAAGUUAGCAUUGCGAUUCAGGGAUUCGGUAUAUUACAAGCUCCACCCGAGCUCGCCAAUAGAUCCGCCACAUACACAGGAAGCCUUGUGUACACGAAGUGAUAGAAGCACCUGUAAAUAGUACAAGAACUACUAGAGAGUAACAAAUCUACUAAAAACACGAUCCAAAAUGUUUAAGCCAAUGGCUCAAACCACUGUUAGGUUCAAACCACCGGCCCAAAAUGUUUAAGCCUAGUUAUUAUUACUAGGGUCCCUAAUCUUUAUAUACGACCUUUUUUUUUCAAUUUAAUCCUUUAAAAAUUUAUAAUUUGCCAAAUGACUCUAUAAAAAUUUUAUUUGGCCAAAUAACCUUAUUUUGUCCAACUUAGUGGUGUGAUGGAAGAACAAUUGGCAGACGGUGAAUCAUUUACCGUUUUUAAUGAAAUUUAGAAGACGGCGAAUCAUUUACCGUUUUCUUUUAAUAAAGAAAACGAUGAAUAAUUUACCGUUUCUUUCUAUUUCUCAUAUAUAACCCUAACGACCACAUAAAAGUUUCAGUAAAGCAUAUACAAUCCUAACAACCUAAAAUAUCCUAAUAAUCUACUCAUACAAUUAUAACAAUCAAACAAAAGUUCUAGUAAUCCAUGUACAAUCCUAACAAACUCAUAAAAGUUUUUACAACCUAUAGAAAAGUACGAUAACAAUCUAAAAACGGUAAAUGAUUCACCGCUUUCUAAAGGCGAUGACUGAUUCACUAUGUUCCUCAUUCUUGUCCAAUAUAGCAUUGAGUUGGCAAAAGGAGGUUAAUUGGCCAAACAAAAUUUUGGAAGGGCCAUUUGGCAAAUUAAAAAUUUUUAUAAGGUUAUUGUAAAAAAAGUCUUUAUAUACCCAAUCAUAAUCUCUUUCCCAUCUGAUGUGAGACUAUUGGUGUUGCAAACUACUCCGGUUGAGAUCCUGACGUCCUCGUUAGGUUCAAGCCCAAUCACGUAUAGACCAGAAUUGUCAGAUGAUGUGAGAUUCUAGAGGUGGCUUGCGGUUCAAGAGUCAAGCUCCAAACCCAACAGGUAACAGACGCCGCAUACCUGCUUAGCAAAUAUGUGAGACUACAAAAUCCAACAACGAAUUAGACAAAACAAUAGUUACAAAAUUCCACUUAUUACGUGGUACAGAGAAAGGAACAAAGCAAAGACAAAUAAAACCAAACGAUAGUCCACGGAAAACCACUUAACAUCUAGCUAACUACACAAAGAACUAUUAACAAAAGAAAGUAACUCGAGCAACAAGCUAUGACUAGCAUUUACUUGAUGUUGUCCCCGCCUAGCAAUAGAGUCUCGAUAUCUAGAUAAACAACCAAACACCGCAUUAGUCAGAUUAAGCAUAUAAAUAACUAACAGCUCUGAAUUAAAAUUUGUGUAUAGAAAUACAGUUUAAACGACUGGUUUUUCAUUCACAAAAUUAUGGAAAAUAGAUAUUAUCGUAGUUUCGGAUUCAUAUCAAUUAGAAGAGAUUGUAAAAUAACGAAGUGCUUUGCCUUCUGAAAAUAAACCAAAUUCAAAAUAAGCCUCCGGCAACUAACUACAUAGAGUGACCUGUUGCUGAGGUCCAAAGGCAACUGUAGGGGCAUAAACGGAGUAGAGGCACCCGAAAGUGCGAUUACAGACAGAAGCAUUCAAAGGUAGAUAGAGGACAAAGGCGUUUUAAGGCUCAGGCACCCAAAGGCGCAUUACAAAGUCGAAGCUAGCUUCAAUAAUAGUAUACAUGCCGACAUGGCCAACAUUAUCUUAGCAGAAUAUCAAGAGACGUUAUUAUUUAAAGUAUUUACCCAACUAAUAAUUUACAAAACAAAUUAUUGAAGUUUAGAAAUUCUUACUAAGAGAACCUGUUAGUCAAAGUCAAAACCUUUUUUUUUAAGUACGUAAUAACAUGCUUAAUCCUUAUUUUCAAAAAUCUACAAGAACAAGAAUUUUCUUAUACUCUGAAUGUUUUUCUAUAUUAUGUUGCAAAAAAUUAACGGGCAUCUGGCAAGUUUAUGCCGCAAAUAGGAAUCAACUCCCUUUUCGAAUACUCGAAAGGCAGGGACUAUAAAACAAACAGUCCAUGAAUAUCAAUGGCGGGGCAAAAAGAAAAAAGGCAACAAAAAGAGGAGCGGCUAAUUUAGCUCAGUCAAGUUCUCCUAUUGGUGUGUUGGUGUCAAUUAGACAAUCAACCUGAGUAGGCCCCCAAAACCAAGGGGUACUAACUAACAGCUGAGUUACCUUCAAAAGUAGCUUUUGAAACUAUCCGGUCGAAAAUGCAAAGAAUUAAACUCCCGACCCUUAUCAAAGAUGGUGAAGAAGACGGCGAUGAACGAAGUGUCGUCGACAACGAACCAAAUGAUGUAGCCAAACCAAACAAUGUUGACGAUGAACCAAAUGAUGUCGACGAUGAUUGAGGAGCACAGCAACAGCCAAGAACAAUGGCGGCGAUGUCAGAGGACAAGUAUCAAAGGGGUAUCGUGCGCAUGUGUGAGAAAAAGAGAGGGAGAGAGCACAAGAGAGAUGCGGUUAUGAGAGAGAGAGCAUGGGAGAGAAAGAGGGCGACUUGGAUGGGGUUACGAACAAGGAAAGAGAGGAAAAAUAGCGGUUAAUUUGCACAAAAAGCUGCCAAGCUCCUCUACUGUUAAAAAUUACAAAAAAUUCCAAAUUUUAAAAUAAAGGGUCAAUAACUAGUAUAGGGUACUACAGCUUUUCGCUCUCAAAGUUGGCCCUCCAACACUAGCAUUGAUGUUCUCUCUCUUUUCACUAAAACAUUCUCAAUAUAGUGAUGAUUAGUUUCCACUAGGGGGCUGUUUGAUUUCACAUAAAGCUGUGGAAAACUUUUUUCGGAGAAAAAGAGUUUGCAGUGGAAAAGUAAUUUUACAUUCUUUUUAUUUGGUUGGCUAGAAAGGAAAAUCAAAAUUCAAACUAUAGUUGUUUGGUUUGCUGAAGAAAAUGAAAAGCUAAUUUUGUAAUAUAUAAUAUGUAAAUAAUUUUUAUACUUAAUAUACAAUGUAAAAUUAUAUAUAGUAUAACAUAAUGAAAUAAUAUACUGUAUAAUAUUGUAUUAUAAUAUAUGAUAUUAUAUAUAAAUAUAUUAGUAUAUUUAAUAUAUUAUAUAAUAUUUUAUGUAAACAUAACAUAUGCAAGGAGAAGGGAAAACCGACAAUCGGUCCAUAGAGUUUCUGCUAAAACUUGUGGACUGUGUUUGUAAGCUCGUGAGCCGCGAUUAUGUGCCCCCAACAUUUUGUUUUUUGCUAUAUUCGAGUAGAAGACAAAAUGCUUUCUUUUUCAGAUUAUCUGUAAAGUUGUUUUAUGCGAAAAAUAAUUUUAUGAUGAACAAACACAUUGACAACUAUUUUGCACCUAAAAACUAUUUUGCACCUGAAAAAAUAGUUUUUGGUGUACUAUAUGUCACGCCCCGAGCCCACAGCAGAAGCCUUGCGGGCAUGUGCGCAGACUCGCCGAACAGACAGAGUUCCCCCGUCCGCACGAAGCGUCCAACAAAAUAUAGCAGUAGCAAAGGAUUUCAAGAGUCAACAUUAAUAAUUCCAAAGUCCACAACUAAACACAAAAUAUCAGAGCGAUAUAUGUAAAACUAAACUAAACAAUUAUCACUAUCCAUACAAACAUACAACCAUACAUCCCAAAAUAAAAUAUAGUAUACAAUCUCAAAAUCAACUAGCUGGUGGUCCUCUAAAACUCAUAUACACGGGUUGGAGGUGCUAUCUACGGCGCGAUCCUCUUACCUCGAUCAUCUGUCAAUGUAGAUGUCUCUGAAAAGUAAACAACAAGAGGGCGUAAGAAUUACUAAACAGUAGUUCCCAGUGGGUAAGGUCGGCGACAACAAUGGCCUUCUCACUAGGUCUACUACAGACAAGCAUAGAGAAAGUAUAGUAAGGAAUGCUAUAAAACGAGUAAUAAAGUAUAAUAUGAAUGAUAUACAUUUAUUAAAUUAUCAUGCCUCAACACGUAUAAUGAAUAGGAGACAAGAUGACUAAUAAUAAAUGCAAGGUAUCACCCACUCACAUGCAAUUCAAUCAACACAUGGUGACCCAAUUAUAAACUGACCAACUCGUAAGUCACAUAUGUAAUGAACAGGAGAUAAAUUAGCUAGAGUAUGCAUUAGAGCUGAUACUAAUGCAGUAAUAGUACCCAAUCGCAACGACCGAUUCAUAGGUCCGGUCAAGCCUGCGCCCGUCUAGUGUGUGGACACACUCUCCCAGGUAUGACGGCAAUAUUUAGGCUACUGUCUCUGCUAUUGUUGGCCAGCAUCCAAAGUGGCACUCAAGGGGAGCAACUCUUACCGAGUCUAAUAGCGCGUAACUCUAUCAUGCUCAUUGUGGCAUUUGCAGGCUAUAGUCUAUGUGAUGAUCAAAAGAUCACAGGUAACCAAUACCAAGUUCUGAACACAUUCAUAGACGGUCCACUACUCAUGAGUGAUACUAGUACAAUUUUAGAGCAAUUCCAAAGUCAAAUAGCAUAAUGGAGAUCAUCACAUACCUUUUAAUGCACAACCUGUUCUCUACUGCUGGGCUAACCUAUGAGUUUUAAUACAUAGAUCAUAAUAUAUGCCAUUCAAUUAAUCAAUACGUAAACAUAUUCAAUGGCCUCUUAUCGCGUAUUAUCACAGAAGCAAUAUAUCCACACUUGGGAAUUCGCUAAUCUAAAGCUACUAAAUCACUUAUCAAAAAGCUCUGAAUCAUUCUCAUGUAUCUUUCAACAUAACUAAUCAACAUAUAAAAUGCAAUUAGUCAGUGUAUAUAUGUAAUACAGAUGAACAAUAGAUAACUCAUAGCUAUACAUGUGAUGUCAAAUGGCCCCUCCCGGCCUAAUUUGGUAUAUAUAAAAUGGUGUACUAAUAGGAAUUCAAUAUAUUAGAGCAAUUUGACCUAUUACUUACACCAUCUAGCUUAGAUCACUACACAUAUAUGUCUCAUAUAAUCCAUUCUUUCUACUUAAUAUCAUACUAGUACUACUCUCUACCAUCAUAUAUAACCAUAUACAUAGGGGUGUAAUGUCGGCCGUGCCGGGCUGAUUCAGGCCAAGGGUUGUGCCGGCCCGACCAGCUUGCAAAUUCGGGCUAGGCCUUGUCGGCCCGUUUUCUUGGAGGGGAAGGCUCGGCCUGGCCCCUGGCCCACCCAGGACGGGCCGGGCCGGGUCGAGCCGGGCUUCAGGCCAGCCCGGUAAUAGCCAAUAGGCUUUUUUUCCCCUAUCAUUUUUUUUAAAAAAUUAUUUUUUUUAAGAAAAAGAGUUUAAAUUUUACCUUUUUGACUUACAGUUUUUAAUUUACACAACUAUACCCAACCUUUUUAAAACUCUUUUAAAAAUUUUAUAAAUUUUAAAAAAAACUAAAACACAAGCAAUAAAUUUAACUUCUGAACAUAAAAUUAAUAUUUGUUUUUUUUCAUAAUUUUUUAUCAUUUGAAGAGAAAUUGAUAUUCGAAAAAAAAGGUACAAAAAAUAUGUAAAAUUUGAAUUAAUCAUAUAAUAUAAUUNCUCUCUAUAUAUAUAUAUAUAUAUUUUACUGCUCCGUCUUUUCCUAUAAAAUGACCUUCUCCUUUUCCUGGGGCACGUAAUUAGAUUAACAGAAGGGCGCGCUGCCAUUUCACAUUCGUAUGUAUAUGGGACGGGAGAGCAUGCAUAUUGCAAAUGUGCAGAAACUGUUCAAGCACUAUACUCUUUGAAAUUGGGUGGCCCAUAUAUGCAUGUGAAGAGAUGUUGCUAUAAUAAGAGUGUCCUUAGGCCAAAGAUACACUGUACUGCUCGGUAAUGUCUAGCUGUUUCUUUUCCCUUAUUAGUUCUGCUAAUUUAAUUCUUCAUAAUGUUGCUCUGGACCACUCUGCACCCAGGGGAGAUUAAUAACCAAAUCUACCCAUUUGUAUUUACUGUUUGCCCUCCUAUAUAUAUAUAUAUAUAUAUUUAUUGCAUGCCUGAUCAGUGGUGGUUGCCAUCAAACUCUACAGUAAAUUUCCAGCAACCAAAUUUAGUAAUUACUACAUGCGAUACCCUUCUUUUGAAGGACAACUGCAGGGGAAGGGAAAGAAACUUCUUAUUUAUUGUCAAGAUUACUACGUACUAGCAAGGGCUGUAAAACUAUUUUUUUUUAUUUUUUUUAUUUUUUUAUUGUGUCUAUGGCAGUUGCUCGAACAGCUCAAUGCCUGGUUUAGGAUUGUGUUUCCCGGUACAACUCAAUUAAAGACCUUUCAAUCUUCCCGGCUGCAAUUCUCACCUCAAUUUUACCUUUAAAUUUGUUAGACCGUACGGAGUAUAAAAGCGGAUAAGUUUGGCGACACAAAUCCAAACUAGCCCUAACAUUUUAAUUGCAUGGGAGCAUUUUGAUAUGAACUAUUUUUUUAUUGUAGGGAUUCGGAAUCAACAACGGAGACCGUUAAACAUAAUUUAGGUCUUCUCGAACCAAAUUUUGUGAUUUUUGAAUAUUAUUUUCUAGCACAUCAAGCGGGCACAAAAUUAAAGGCUCAAACCGAAUAAUCUUGUGAAAAAGAGGAUAGAAUUGUUCAAGUUUAUUGAGGCCGAGCAUGUUGAUCUUGAUCAAAAUAGUUGGAAGAAUUUCGUAGCGAAAAUCCAAUUAAACUAGACUCUUCUACAUUGUUAAAGCAAAAAAGUCUUUGUUAAUUCUAAAAUGUUUCAAUUAAUAUAUAUAUAUAUAUAUGAAGUAGAAAACUCACUCAAUUUAUUUUCUAUAGAACUCAAAUAUCCUAAAUCAUAUUUUACUUGAUUGUCUAAUAAAAUAAUUUUGAUAGUCAAUAAUUAAUGACUAGGCAGUUCCAUGGCAUUAGCACUGUUGCUAUAACUAACUCAUUCACAGCAAUCUUCCGGAUAAAUUUGUGUGCAGCUGUUAUUUUCGGUCAGAAGAAUAGCAGCAAUAAAGUGCGUGCAUGGAAGCAGUAGUAUACAAUGUCAAUGUCAUGGACCUCUUGUGGGCAUGUGAGUUAUUACUGUAUAUUUUGCAAGAGGGCAAAUUUCACCGCCUAGCCAAUAAAUUUUUGUGCCGGAGAAUGGAAAGGACGGUUUAGCUGACCGCGUCCAACUAACAAAGUAUACGUCGAUUGCAGCAGACCGGCUUUGCGCCUUUAUAUAUUCUCGGCACUGUUAUUGGCCCGGAGUAUUGAGGGGAGAUCAUAAGCGUGCAUGCAGGGAAGGUGAUUUAAUUAAUUAAUUAAAGGACUAAUUUCACCUGCGGCGCAUACGCUACUCUGCUAACUUGUCGGGAUUAUGUUUCGCAGAUGGAGGAGUCACAUCAAUUCUUGAGCACGCCGUAUAAAUUCUCGGAUGGAACUUUGAGAAUUUUACGUUGUAUUUUGGAUAGUAAGUUAAUUUCUACUUUAUUUAAAAUCAAGCUGCUUCAAUUAGCGGGAAAGUUAUAUAAAGACCCCAUGACGCUGUGCAUGAUUUCUUAAGUUUGCACAUUAAGGUUUAUUGUUUUGUCGAGAAAAUUUAAUUGUAAAAUCUUCUGCAUUAAAAGUGAGAAUGUGGCUCUUCUAAGGUGUUCUAUUACUCCGAAUGGCAUGGCAACUAGCUAUACGUAUAUAAUUCACGCAAAAUUGGACCAGCACAGCACAGCACGGCACAGCACACUCCAGGGGGAUGGAUUUGCACUGUGUUUGACCAAUAUUGUAGUAGUAAUUAAUGUAUGUUGAUGGGCCAAUUAGUUAUGCCAAAUCUAGUCAUUUAUAUAUAUAUAUAUAUAAUGUAAUUUAAUUCUUCUUUUCAGAUGAGUUGAUUGAAUCUACUAAGUAAGAUCGAUCAAACUUGAAACUAGACAGGGAGGGUAACACACACGUACGACCGACCGACUUCAAAUGCUGGAAAAUUAUACUUGUACCAGUAAGUGAACGUACCGUGAGAAUUUUUUUGUACUCGAAUAUUAUAAACUGGACAUAGUCCGGGAGCGCAAAUUCACGAGAUCUCACGGAGUAGGGGACCAAGUAGUAGUUGUUAACAAAGUCAUUACCCCCGAGAGUGAUGAGAACGAGAGCCUGGUUCACUAGCUUCUUCGCCUGGUCCUCACCUAGGAGAGCACUCACCCGCUCCUGGUACUCCUCGAAGUAUAGCAGUUGCCUGCUAAUCCUAAUUAUGUUUACCUGCAUAUAUAUGCGCGCACGAUAUAUAUCCAGAUUAGAACGCGUCGUCGAUUUAUGAAAAGAAUUUUAAGUACAUCUAAAAUGGAAUGGAAUAAAUUUGUAGCGUCCGUACAAAUUGAAUUCCGGUGUCGUUGAGGAUUCCGAUCCCUGCCGAAGCGAAAUUCGCACCGACGAGUAGUUUUUCGCCUUGAAGCUCAGGGCUCAAGUAAGGCAAUGUGGAUUCGGCUCCCAGAUACUCGCCUGAGAUAUAUAAUUGCACCGCAAUGUGAGUGAAAAAAAAAAAAAGAAAAAAAGAUAGGAACUAAAUAUGUACAAAAUUAAUCUCAUCGUGGCUCUUUAUGCAUGCGGUUAACUGAUAAUGUCAGGGAUGUUAAGCCCAUUGGAGAAUCGGCCCGUCGGCCGGUGGGUAGGGUAGUCAAUCCCAUAAGGCGGGGCAUCGGCGCGCGCCGUGGUAGCCAAGUAGUUGUUGUUGCCGUUGUCGACGAGGGAAUCGCCGAAGAUAAAGAAGGCGCGCGCAUCGGAGACUGCGCAGAGGGUCCCUAAAGCUAAGAAACAAACAAGAGAGCAGAGGAGGAGGAGGAGGAGAAGAGAGGGGUGCAUCGUCAAUGUGAAAAUGCGCAAUCAAUCAAAUGGAAGUAGAAGAGGGAUCGUAAUAUAUACUAGCUAGUAGAAGAGCCGGCUCUGUAUAUAUAUUCACAUGAAGGGCCAGAGGAGGUGGUGGAUUUAUAUAGGACUCUGCUGGGCUCAAUUUAAGAGGGUGUGUGUGUGUGUGUGUGUGUGUGUGGGUGGUGGUUUGGAAGGGGCGAUCGAGGACCACAGAAAUAACUCCACACGCAAAUGAGUUUGUUAGUCGUUUGCCUCCUCAAUGAGUGCUAAUUUUCCAGUGGGAUGCACCUUCGAGGUAGUUGCUAGCUUUCUUUCGCUAUCACAGAGCCUAUGCACUAAGUAAUGUACUUUAGCAUUAAGGAACGGCAUAAUUAUAGCGGACUCAUGCUUGAGGUGCAUAUCCAUAUAUACAGCUCAUGCAUUGUUUCAAAUUCUUCAUGAUUAAUAAAAAUUAUUUUAAUUACAUGCACGUGACUUGCAACAUUUUAUAACAGAUUUGUAAUUUCUGAAAUUCUAAUACCUAAUAGUUCUAAAGAAACAAUAGUAUAAUAAAAUGCAUUGAUUGAUAUUUACAUCGGUUGGUAUGCAGGAUUUUCUAAUAUCGUAAUAAAACAUAUUCGAAAAAUUAAAUUCAGACUUUGACUGCUCGACGAUAUAUUUUUGUGAAUUAGGUGCUUUUCGUACCUAACUAUACUCCAUACUUCACACCUUUAGGUGGAGCUAAUUAGAUUGUACUGUCGUUAACAACACUAAGUUCUCAGUACUAUAAAACCAUUUUAGAUGCUACUAAUAGCACUAAGUUCUUAGUGCUAUAGAGUUAUUUUUACGGCUUAAGCAUUCGAUUGAACGUACGUUGGACACCACUAAAAUGAUCUAGAUCUAGCAUUUGAAUCUCUUAAUUAGUGAGCAUCGAUCCGAUUCGACAGUCGACAUUAUUAAAUAUUAUUAGGGCAUUUGAACUUUCCAGUACUUUUUUUUUUUUGAUCUUAUUUAACUGGUGAUCAAGCGGCCUUAAGAAGUGAUAAUUCAAACAGUGGGGUGUUCUCUAGUUUAACGGUGUAAAUAAUUCUAUUGUUGAAUUUUUAUAAAAAGUUCUUGUAGCUUUGUAGAACAAAUUAAUCUAUAAUUCCUAUCGUAAAUUUGUAAUUCCUAUCCCCUAUUUUGAGAAGACUGUUCAAUUUUAAUAGUUCUUUUUUGACGAGUUAAUUUCCUAGAAAAUAACUUUUCAAAUUCACAAAAUUUAUUUUUUAAAAAGUUCAAAUAUGUUAAAUUAUGUUUAACGAUAAUCUCGAUUUUACCCAAACACGCCCCAACAAAAGUUUUGCUGAUGGAUAAUGCGCAAUAACGUUCUACCUUGAUGGAAUUAAAAUGGCAGUUAUGAGCUGUCCAAGGUCGCUGUUUCACAUUCUAUUAGAACAUAUAUAGCGCAACUAAAUUAAGAAGGAGUAGCUGUAAAUAAAAAUUAAUUAUACGGAGCUAGCCCCGACCAGCCAACUCACUUUAUUGGCACUCUUCUUUCCAUGCAAGCAAGGAUGAACGAAUCGUGUGUAAUGCUUGGCUACUUUACAAAUUUUAGCGGAGUGAUUGAUUUUGUUAUAUAUCUCUUCUAGCUUUUCGGUUCUCAUUUUUCGAUAUGGUGUAUGUACAUGAAUAAGUAGCUAGCUAGAAAAGGUCACUCUUCCUCUCUCUCUCUCUCUCUCUCUCUCUCUCUCUCUCUCUCUCUCUCUCUCUCUCUCUCUCUCUCUCUCUCUCUCUCUCUCUCUCUCUCUCUCUCUCUCUCUCUCUCUCUCUCUCUCUCUCUCUCUCUCUCUCUCUCUCUCUCUCUCUCUCUCUCUCUCUCUCUCUCUCUCUCUCUCUCUCUCUCUCUCUCUCUCUCUCUCUCUCUCUCUCUCUCUCUCUCUCUCUCUCUCUCUCUCUCUCUCUCUCUCUCUCUCUCUCUCUCUCUCUCUCUCUCUCUCUCUCUCUCUCUCUCUCUCUCUCUCUCUCUCUCUCUCUCUCUCUCUCUCUCUCUCUCUCUCUCUCUCUCUCUCUCUCUCUCUCUCUCUCUCUCUCUCUCUCUCUCUCUCUCUCUCUCUCUCUCUCUCUCUCUCUCUCUCUCUCUCUCUCUCUCUCUCUCUCUCUCUCUCUCUCUCUCUCUCUCUCUCUCUCUCUCUCUCUCUCUCUCUCUCUCUCUCUCUCUCUCUCUCUCUCUCUCUCUCUCUCUCUCUCUCUCUCUCUCUCUCUCUCUCUCUCUCUCUCUCUCUCUCUCUCUCUCUCUCUCUCUCUCUCUCUCUCUCUCUCUCUCUCUCUCUCUCUCUCUCUCUCUCUCUCUCUCUCUCUCUCUCUCUCUCUCUCUCUCUCUCUCUCUCUCUCUCUCUCUCUCUCUCUCUCUCUCUCUCUCUCUCUCUCUCUCUCUCUCUCUCUCUCUCUCUCUCUCUCUCUCUCUCUCUCUCUCUCUCUCUCUCUCUCUCUCUCUCUCUCUCUCUCUCUCUCUCUCUCUCUCUCUCUCUCUCUCUCUCUCUCUCUCUCUCUCUCUCUCUCUCUCUCUCUCUCUCUCUCUCUCUCUCUCUCUCUCUCUCUCUCUCUCUCUCUCUCUCUCUCUCUCUCUCUCUCUCUCUCUCUCUCUCUCUCUCUCUCUCUCUCUCUCUCUCUCUCUCUCUCUCUCUCUCUCUCUCUCUCUCUCUCUCUCUCUCUCUCUCUCUCUCUCUCUCUCUCUCUCUCUCUCUCUCUCUCUCUCUCUCUCUCUCUCUCUCUCUCUCUCUCUCUCUCUCUAUAUAUAUAUAUAUAUAUUUAUACACACACACACACGCAUGCAGUUAAAAUCACUUCAACAACUGCAAAAUAUGCCACCGUAACUUUCUAAAAAAAGCAGUAAUCGUUCAAUAUCAUGGCAAUGCCACUUUAUUUAGUCACCGAAAUUACUGCGAGACCCUUGUCAAAGAUCUCCCAUAUAUAGGCGGCCUCUGAAUUUCACCAUGCACCUUAGAUUAUCAAAGUUUAGAAGCUGCUACUGCCAUAUGUAUACAAAUAUCUAUUCCUCUCUUUCGCAAUAUUUCUCAGUUAAUUAACCUUGCGUCUUAAUUAACCUUGCGCGCGGGUACGCAUAAUCCACUCCUGCGAAGACAUCGGUGGUGCACAAGUUUAUAUAUAUAGUUUGAGAAAGUAAGGUGGAGAAUCCAGUUCAGCUCCAUAAUUAACUUGAAAGAAAUUAAAUUCACCCAACACUUAAAAAAUUGACGACGCCACACUAACCACUGUUGCCAUUUAUGAUGGUGUCGGAGGCGAUUCGAAGCCCAUGAAAAAGCUCCAAACCAUACAUGUGAAAUCCAUAAAUAAGUGGGGUAGAAAGAUUAAAGUUGAGUAGCUAACUCCCAUGCGCCUCCCUAUGGAUCGCACGGUUAAUCUUUAUGAAAAACCAUCCACCCAUCUAUGCGCGUACCGCUCUCUUGAAAAUUAAAGCGAACAAAAUGGAAAAGAGAGUAAAAUUUUGACCCUAGCAUUUAAUUUGUAGCUGCUCUUGUAGUUGGAAGAAACAUUCAUGAAAGACAAAACUUCACUAGCUCUCUAAUCCGAAAGGAUUAAUUUGUUCGACUUAAUUAAUUGCUUCAUUUUUUUUUUCCUUUUUUUUUCUUUUUCUUUUUGAACGUUAUUUUGGUCCACAAUUUAAUUAUGUUGGCUGAUAUAUAGUUCAAAAUUAUUAAUGACACUUAUUAGCUGAGACUGCUGGGGCCGAGCCUCCGAGUUGAAGAUAACGGGAUAGAUGUCGUGCGUUUAUAAGCAAAUUCCAAUUAUUGAGACAAUAUAUAGUACAAUUCAUCAAAUCAAAAGAGAACCUAAUUGCUUGACUCCUCUUUGUGUUACAUAUAUAGUAGCUAGACUUCCUAGCUAGCUCCCUCUCUUUUAACCCUUGAUUACUCACCGGUUCCCUCUGAACAUUAGCAUUCGCAAUCUUUCACCUGCUGUUUUGCAUAUUAGAAACGAGAAAAAUUACUAUAUACGUGUACUGUAAAAAGUAGUGCGUUUAUAAAUUUAGAAGAUCCCUGAUAUUUUCGAAUCCACCUCAGCGAUGUCUCAAAAUUGUGAUUUGAUUUCUGUUCGGGGCACAUGCGAUCUGCGGGACGAUACCCACAAUUACGAACACCGGCCGAACUGGUUAUUAGUUAGUAGUUCGGAGUUGGGAAUUUUAUGCGUACAGAAGUUCUCAUGCACCAAAUUAAUAUUGCUGCUCAUUCAAAUCUUUCUCGAUACGCUCCCUACAUUCACAUCUAAUUAAGCUAAAAAUCCUAGUUUGGGAUUGCAAUACCUAAAAUCACCAGAUUAUUGCCAACAUUAAUUAAUAGAAUUAGAAGAAAGAAAAUUGGUGGGGCUCUCGGAUUUUGUUGCCCUCCGAAGCACGAGCUGGCAAUUUGGGCGACUCAAUUCCAAAAUAGGCCUAAAGUGCACCAUCGCUGGUCCUUAAAAAUUUUAAUUAAGUUUCACUUUUGAUCCGCGAUCUUUUAAAAUUAUUCUUUCAACGCAUUUUGAAGGUGAAUCUACUCUAUAAGGAGAAUACUGUGGAAGAAGCUCACACAGCAGAAUUGUUUCUAUUCACAAUAUAAUACAGUCUCAAUUAGUCUACAAAGGAAAUAAUCAAGAAAUACAAUAAUAAUUUAGUUUCCUCUUCUGUAGCACAGUUAUAAGGAAAUAUGCUAAUAGCUUCCUUUAUGUUAUAGCUCUAAUUAUAGACAUCUAUGCUGGUUUGUCUAAUGAAGGAAAGCGAUCCUUGGAGUUAAUUGAUCCUGGAGAGUGAUUGUCACCUAUACGCCCCCGCAAGAUAGGUGUACCGUUGUGAACACCUAUCUUGGAACGAAGAAGAGAAAAUUGCUGCUGUGAGAGAGGUUUUGUUAGCACAUCAGCAAGUUGAUCAUGAGUCGAUACAUGAGAUACUGAUGUAGGAGAGCUAGUGCACAAUCACAAUGCUUAAAACAGAGGGGGUAAGUGAAGCAAAAACAGCAAGGAAGAAGAGGGAUUCAAGCUUCUAGGGUUUAGUGACCCCAAAUAGAGCUUUAUGAUUUAUCUAAAAAAAAGGUUAUCUUCAGGGACUCCUCCUUACAACUCUUAAAAGAUUGAUUUUAAACAUAGAAGGCACUUGGGCUGCCCUAAUAUGAAUAAAAAGACGAUAAUACCCUUAAUGACUCAUAUGACUCAACUAAAGUAAUACAUAACUAUCAAGACUCAUAAACACAGUAAGGAAAUACUAUAAUACGCAAUCAAAUUAAAACCCAAAAUAAAUCUUCAACGUGCUUGAUUAAUCUUCUUAAGCUUCCUAAAUGCUCCUGCAUCAUCCUCCCCAGCUGGGAGAGAACUCAACUCCGAUGAGUAAGCUUUCAUGAACUCUUCAUAUGCCCCUAGAUCAGCCCGUUGGAGCUCCUCUUCAGUGAUCCAUGUACUUUCACUUGGCGAUUUACCUAGCCAUUUAAUUAGGAAUCUUCCGUAAAAAUUUCCCCUUCUGGACUUCAUCUCUUUGACAUCCAAAAUAUCUUCAACAACCUCGGCUUGUUCCUCCGGCAAGUUAGCGACCAAUUCAUCUAGUGUUGUUACACUUUCAUCAAAUCCCUCAAAAGCAUAAAGGUCGGCCACAUUAAAAAUUGGACUUAUUUGCAAACCUGCUGGCAGCUUAAUUACAUAGGCAUUAGAGCUGAUUAUUUUUAUAAUCUUGCAUGGACCUAACUUCUUUGACUUUAGCUUAUGGUAAGUACCAUUCGGGAAUCUUUCUCGCCUCAGAUGGACAAGGACCAUGUCACCUUCUUCAAAAUCUUUUCGUCGGCGAUGCUGAUUCGCAGCAGCUGCAUAAGAGUCAUUGCUAGCCUGGAUGGCAGCCCUCACCUCCUCAUGAAUUCGAUGAAUAUGUUCGGCAAAUGCCUCACCAUCAUCGCUCACUCUAGCUUCUGGUGGAAGGGGAACCAAAUCAAGGACAUGUUGAGGUCUUAGCCCAUAAGCGGCUUCAAAUGGAGUCUUCUUCGUAGUUCUGUUCACUGAAUCAUUAUAGGCAAAUUCAGCUUGUGGAAUGAUGGAAUCCCAAGUUUUCACAUGAUUUCCAACAAGGCAUCGAAGCAGAUUUCCUAAGCUUCUAUUGACAACUUCAGUCUGCCCGUCAGUUUGUGGGUGGCACGUAGUAAAAUACUUUAGUUGAGUCCCAAGCUUGCGCCAUAAGGUUCGCCAAAAAUGUCCCAUGAACUUUACAUCUCUAUCAGAGACAAUCGAUGUUGGAAGCCCGUGUAGCCUCACUAUCUCUUUGAAAAAUAAUUCAGCAAUAUGUGAAGCAUCAGCAGUUCUUGAACAUGGUAUAAAGUGUGCCAUUUUCGAAAAACGAUCUACUACCACUAAAAGAGAAUCAUGCCCUUUUGCUGUUUUUGGUAGCCCAAGCACAAAAUCCAUACUAAGAUGAACCCAAGGAGCCUCUGGAACAGGUAAAGGAGUAUAUAAUCCAGUAUUUUGGGAGCUCCCCUUGUUAAGUUGACAUAUUUGGCACCUUCGAACUAGUCUGUCCACAUCUUUGUACAUUUUGGCCAAUAGUAACGGUUAGCAACCAUGGCCAUUGUCUUGUCUCUUCCAAAAUGCCCUCCUAGGCCGUUUCCAUGAAGCUCUCAUAUUAUCUGCUCCCUCAAAGAACCUUCAGGAAUGCACAAUUGAUUUCGUUUGAAAAGAUAACCAUCAUGCAUCCUAAAUGCUGUUAGUUUGUCUGCAGCUGAUUCUUGCAAAUCAGUAAAUAUGGAGCUGAAAUAUGGAUCAAAUUUGUACUGAUUUUUUAAUUCGUCAAAUCCAGUCACUUGGGUAUUCAUCAUGGUCAAUAGCAAAGUACGCCGACUUAAUGCAUCUGCUACCUUAUUACACUCUCCCGACUUAUAUUUGAGUACGAAAGUGAAAUUUUGAAGAUAGGAACUCCACUUCCCAUGGCGCUGAUUGAGCUUCUUUUGGGAGUUUAGAUGCUUUAGUGCUUGGUGAUCCGAAUAAAUAACAAAUUCUUGGUAUGCAAGGUAGUGCUCCCAGUGAUGAAUUGCGCGUACCAAAGCAUAGAACUCUAGAUCAUAAGUAGAAUACCUCCUUUUAGCUUCAUCUAACUUCUCACUGAAAAACUCAAUUGGUCUUCCUUCUUGGCUGAGAACAGCUCCUAUCCCCAUUUGCGAAGCAUCACAUUCCACUGUGAAAAGCUUCUCAAAAUUCGGUAAUGCAAGAAUCGGAGCUUCAGUCAUAAAUGUCUUGAUUUUCUCAAAGGCCCUUUGUGCUGAAUUAGUCCAUGUGAAUUUCUCAGUCUUGAUGCAUUCAGUUAUUGGAUGCAUGAUAGUGCUGAAAUUCUUAAUGAACCGUCGAUAGAAAGAUGCUAAUCCAUGAAAGCUUCGCACUUCCCCAACUGAUUGCGGAACCGGCCACUCCAUAAUAGCUGUUAUCUUUUCUGGAUCGGGAUGUAGCCCCUCAGAUGAAAUAAUAAAGCCCAAAAACACAACUCUAUCACACAAGAAAGAACACUUCUUCAAAUUUACAUAGAGUUUCUCAUGGUGAAGCACCCCCAUAACCUGUUGUAAAUGCUCCAAAUGCUCCCUUUUGGUCUGACUAUAUAUUAAGAUAUCAUCAAAAUAAACAACCACGAAUAACCCCAAAAAAGGUUUAAGUACCUCGGUCAUAACUCGCAUAAAAGUGCUAGGUGCAUUAGAGAGCCCAAAUGGCAUUACAAGCCAUUCGUAUAGUCCAUCAGGAGUCUUGAAAGCAAUCUUCCACUCGUCCCCACCUCGCAUUCGAAUUUGAUGGUACCCACUCCUCAAAUCUAUCUUUGAAAACACCGUUGAACCAACUAACAUAUCUAACAUUUCAUCAAGUCGAGGUAUUGGGAACCUAUAUUUUAUCGUAAUCCUAUUAAUUGCACGGCUAUCAAUACACAUUCUCCACGAACCAUCCUUUUUGGGUGUAAGGAGAGCCGGAACAGCGCAAGGACUCUUGCUCUCUCGGAUUAUUCCUUUGGCUAUGAGGCUUUCAACCUGUCCUUUCAUUUCAGCUCGUUGUACAGGUGGCAUUCGGUAAGCAGGUAGAUUUGGCAGACUAGCACCAGGUAUUAAGUCAAUCGCAUGCUGAAUACUCCUCAGCGGAGGUAAACCAGGUGGAAAAUCAUCCCCGACCAGCUCUUUGUACUUCUCCAAUAGCUGCUGAAUUUCAAUAGGAUAGUCUUCGAACAUCACAACUAUGUCUCUUUUCUCAUUUCUACCAAUCAAAGCAUAAACAACACCCGACUUAACACAUUCCUCUUCGAAUUCUGGGCCAGCCACAAGGCCAACUACUUUACACUUCUUAGGGGAAGCAUCGAUUUCUUCCCUCAGAGGAUGUAAAGUGAAAGUUUUGGUUCCUUAUUUGUAUGAGUAUGUAUUAGGCCUAGUGUAAUGAGUCAUAUCCUUAUCAUACAGCAAAGGUCUUCCUAAUAAGAUAUGGCAAGCAUCCAUAGGCACGACAUCACACCAUACUUCAUCACUAAUAUUAUGCCCCAUUGUAAAAUUUACAAGGCAACGAGUAUUAAUCGGUACCUCAUUUCCUUUGUGAAACCAUGUAACUUUAUACGGAUGAGGGUGUUUCUCUGUUGGUAGCUUCAAUUUUUCCACAGCUUCUUUAGAAAUGAUGUUUUCGCUGCUUCCACCAUCAAGGAUCACGUUACAAACAUUUCCACCACAAAAAACUCGUGUGUGAAAGAUGUUAUGACGCCACCAUCAUCUUCCUCAGCCCUGGGAGUGAUCAUGACACGCUGCGUAACCAGAGAUUCCCUUUCAAUAGGAUAAACAUCUACAUGCUCCUCGGCGUCUUCAUAGUGAUCAUAUAUUGGCCCCAAAUCCUCUUCGUCGUCAUCAUCAAACUCAGUAAAGUUAACCCUCCGUUUAGGACAAUUAUAUGAUCCGUGGCCAUAAUCACCACAAGCAUAGCAUCGACCCCGCAUUUGAUUCUCACCCCCAUUGUGACUUCUAUUAGGACUGUUUGGAGUACCAAAUCUGACUAUUCCUUUUCCUUUUUCAUCUUUAAGCGCUCUACUAGUGUCCUUUCGUGGUGUUUGGUUAGCAUUAUUAGCUCCUCGAUUAGUUCGUAGGCUGGUUGGAUCACUCUGAGCAGCAGGAACGACAUUUGUAGCUCUUUGUAGGGUAAUCCCUGAGCGACCAACCAUAGGUUUUCUCCCCCCAUAGCGUAGAACUCUCUUCUCAGCCAUUAAGGCAUAUUGUCGAGCAUCUUCAAGACUAAAUAAACGAGCAACCCCUAUCUCAUCCCUAAUGGCCUGGUUCAAACCUGAGAGGUAACGAGAAGUUAACUGCUCGUUACUCUCACUUAAACCAACCCGAAUAGAGAGAUUAUUAAACUCAGAUGUAUACUCAUCUACUGACAUACUUCGUUGCUUAAGAGAGUGAAACUUUUCAUAUAACUCCAUUGCAUAAUCAGCAGGCAAAAACUGUUUGUGCAGUUUUGUUUUCAUAUGCUCCCAAGUACUAAUUUUCUGUUUACCUUGACGACUCCGCUGCUCCUUAAUUCUUUUCCACCAUUGUAGUGCAGCUCCUUUCAACUUAAGCUUUACGAACAAGACCUUCCUUUCUUCAACCAUGGGUUUCCAUUCGAAAUAGGUCUCUAGACUUGCUUCCCAAUCCAAGUAGUCUUCAGCAUGCAUUUGGCCAAAGAAAUCAGCCACCUCAAUUUUAAUGCCUGCGCCAUUGAGGUCUAAUGCACGCACUAAUCUGUCUUCUAAUCCAAUUCCACGCUCUUGCUCUUCUCUAAAACCAUGUCCAUGAAAGGGAUUGAUGUCUUCUCUGAAAUCAGUAUGUUCUUCAUCCUCAAGGCUACCUUCCGGAGUGCCAAAAGGGUCACGGUCGCCGUCGAGAGCUUCCCUUCGGCCGGCCGCAUUUUCUCGUCGCUGGAGAGUUCGAACUACCCGCGACAGGUCUUCAACCGUGUGCCUCAACUCCACAAUCUCAGCAAGUUGUGCCUGUUGUCCUCUCCCACCACGGCCUCCCCUACCACGAGCUGCCAUGGAAUAAGCUCAAGCUAACUAAAAGAGGAUUAACUCAAGCUCUGAUACCACUAUUGAUGUAGGAGAGCUAGUGCACAGUCACAAUGCUUAAAACAGAGGGGGUAAGUGAAGCAAAAACAGCAAGGAAGAAGAGGGAUUCAAGCUUCUAGGGUUUAGUGACCCCAAAUAGAGCUUUAUGAUUUAUCUAAAAAAAAGGUUAUCUUCAGGGACUCCUCCUUACAACUCUUAAAAGAUUGAUUUUAAACAUAGAAGGCACUUGGGCUGCCCUAAUAUGAAUAAAAAGACGAUAAUACCCUUAAUGACUCAUAUGACUCAACUAAAGUAAUACAUAACUAUCAAGACUCAUAAACACAGUAAGGAAAUACUAUAAUACGCAAUCAAAUUAAAACCCAAAAUAAAUCUUCAACGUGCUUGAUUAAUCUUCUUAAGCUUCCUAAAUGCUCCUGCAUCAGGUAUCAAAUAAAAAAGAAAAGGUGCAACGACUAAUAGGCAAUAGUGAGGAGAUCAGGGCGAUUGCACUCUAGCAUGCCACAAGUGUUGGUAUAUUUUUAGGUAGUUGAUUCUGUUUCAUCUGAAGAUGUUGACUCAUGGCCUUUUUUAUCUUUUAUUCUUAAUUCUGCAGCUCGCCAAUCUUUUAAGCAGACUAAAAUUUCGACCACAUCCUCCUUAAGCUGGGUUCUAUAAUCAUUCAAUAUUCUUCCACCUGCACUAAAAGUAGACUCGGAUGCCACUGUUGAAACCUGCACAGUUAGUAGAUCACGUGCCAUAGCAGAAAGCACGGGAUAUGUACUUUCAUGUGUUUUCCACCAGGCUAAAAUAUCCAAUUUAUCUGAUUCAUUUUCAUUAAAAAAAUUUGAAAAAUCGGCUUGCAAGUAAAACUGAAGUUCAUUAAAAGAAGGUGCACUAAAAUCCGUUUGUUUUGUUUUCUUACAAAAGAAAAAAUUAUAUUUUUACUAGUUUUACCACUACUACUGUUGCUACUUUGUAACUAUGAAGAAUAUGGUCACUUACUACCCAAAGCAAUUGCAUAAACACUAUACAUUUCACAUAAAAUACUAUUUACUAUUUGAAAAAUAUUUUCCCUAUUUGAAUAAUUUGUUGAAUUAAUUUCUAAAAAUUCAUUAUAUUGUGUAAGAGCAAUUUCUACUCCAUAUAAUUUAAUUCUAGGAUCCAUUAUAGAGGCCAAAAGAGGUACAAUAGGAAUUUCUUCCCAAUAUUCUUUAAAUUUAGAUUCCAUCAUAAUAACAAUUUGACCUAAAAGGGGAGAAUUCCUAUAUUCAGCAAAAUGACUACUCAUAAGUAAAAUUUGAUUAAGAAAAUGGCAUGAAGUAGACUAAUACACACCUGACAAAAGUUUGGUUGACUCAUAAAAUAGUUGCAAACUAGUCAUAAGAAUUUGUCCAAUGUCCCAUUCUUCAUUAGUUAUGGGAUUAUGCUGCAUUUUCUUAUUACAAAGAAUAGAUAAAACAUUUCUAUACUCAUAACAAUAUUGCAACAUUUUAUAUGUGGAAUUCCAUCGGCCAAUGUCCCAUUCUUCAUUAGUUAUGGGAUUAUGCUGCAUUUUCUCAUUACAAAAAAUAGAUAAAACAUUUCUAUACUCAUAACAAUAUUGCAUCCUUUUAUAUGUGGAAUUCCAUCGGUGUUAAACAUCAAAAAUAUUUUUUUUGUUUUUUGGCCCAAUUGUUUACAUAAACUUUUAAAAUCUUGUUUUCUUCGACCUGAACUAUGAAUAAACAUAAAACAAUCUUUUAAUUUUUUUAUUUGUGGACUAAUUAUUUUUAAUCCCUCAUGUACACACAAAUUUAUAAUAUGACAUGCACAUUUAUUAUGAAAUAAUUUUCCAUUUAAGAUGGGAUGCAAAUUAUUUUUCAAAAUUUGAACUGCGGUUCUAUUAUUGCUAGCAUUGUCAAAACCAAUUGAAAAUAUUUUUUGGCUAAUGUUAUAAUUUUGCAAAACAUUUUAAAUAGCCUAAGCAAUAUGAAUACCAGUAUGUGGAAACUCAAGUUCUUGAAAACCAAUAAUUCGUUUUUGUAAUAUCCAAUUAGAAUCAAUCCAACGUGCAGUAACACAUAAAACUACGUUCAUUUCUUGAUGUUCAAAUAUCAGAAGUGAGUGAAAUUUUUGAAUUCAAAUUUUGUAAAAUUGAAAUCAAAUUUUGUCUGUAUUCAAGAAAUGCUUUUAUUGAGUCUUUGCGACUAGUAUUUCGAGAAGCUUUUUUAUAUGCGGGAUUCAAAGCUGUUUUCACAUAGUGUUCAAAAUAUGGACAUUCGGCAAAUGUACAUGGUUGUUUAGCUCCUACAAUAUAUAAUACAAGUUUUCUUCUAUUACGUUUAUGAGAAUAUUGAAAUGUACUAACUCCACUAGAAGUAAAAGUAAGUUGUGAUUGUUUUGUCUCUUUACCUUCUUUUACCUGGUGUUUCUGAAUAUGUCUGUUAAGAUGACCUGUUCCAUCGGAACUAUCACAAGAAUAAUGAACUCCACAUAUAGUACAAACAGCUCACAAGCCUUGUCCUUCAAUUUCUUUGAUAUUGAAGGACUUCCAUACUUGUUCUUUGUUUAGAUGCUUUUUUAGAACUUGCAUCUAAAUUUGGUUUAGGUUGCAAGCUGUCGUCACCUUGUGUAGAACCACCAGCUAAUGUUUCUGAUUGAAUACUAACAUAAUAUUCAGGAGUAUAAUCAGUGCAAGAAAAAUUUAUAUGAGAAAAUUCACCCGACAUUGUUAUAAAAAAAUAAAUACAAUAAUACUAAAAGUAAUUAAAUAAAAAUAUUUAAAAAAUUAAAAAAUAAAAAAUAAGAGAUUAAUUAUUGUGUUGAAAUUGAAAUUUUGUGUGGUGAGAUUGUGGAGAGACUUCGUAAAAAAAAAUUGUUGGAAAAAGUUAAAAAUAUUUGCAAAGUAAACUUGAGAGUUGAGAGAAAAAAAGUUAGAUUGAAAGUAUAAGAGUAGGAAGAAUUAGUCUUUGUAGAAGAAAAUGAAUGAAGAGUUGUUUGUUGUGAUGAAUUUGGAUGUUUGUAGUAGUAUUUAUACAUGUAAAAAAAAAUAAUAUUUUUUUUAAAAAAUAUAAAAAUAUUUUUUAUUUUUUGACCAAACUGCCCUAUGUAAGUCAAAUUUUUGAAUGUUAGUGAGGGCAUUGUGGUCAUUUUGAUCAAAAAAUAUCUUUUUUUUAUUUUUUAACCUUUUUUUAAAAAAUAAUAGUAAAAAAGUUUUUUUUUCGGAAAAAAAGAAAAAAAAAUGACCCAGCGGCUAUUGAGCCGUUGGGCCCUCUGUCCGAGGACUUGGUCACAAAAGCCCUAAAGCCUAAAGGGUAGCUGGGCAUGCUAGGCCUGGCUAAGUAAGGCAAUAUAGGCCUGUCAAAGCCAGGCCUAUAAUUUGUAAAGCCCUACAUGUAGGCUACAACCUACAGGCCUUACAAGUAAAUGGGUUGUGCCAUGCCGGGCUGCAGGCCGACCUUCCGACCCGGCACGGCCUAGGCUCAACACGGACCUUGUCGUGCCGGGCCUACGGGCCCAGCACGGUCCAUGGAGCUAGGUCAGGCCGGCCCGGCCCGGCACAAGUGCUACAGUAACCGUGCCGGGCCAUGCCCCGGCCGGCAGUCGGCCGCCCGGCCCGGCACCUAUGCAUGCACCGAUUAGUGUUCAUAUGCAACAUCCAAUUUUCACUUUUCACUAACCUCUAUUACCAUAUCAACCCGCAAAAUAUGCAACCUACACACAUACACAUAUACAUAUGCACAUAUAUGCAAAAUAGACGUAGAAGAAAGUUCGCCGUUUUCGGCGACAUGGAACCCACCUAAAUCGCAAAUCCAAGGGAAUGAACAAUUAUCAAAGCGGCGUGGUGCUCACUGUCGUUCUCCCUAUCUGUGCAGCUACCACAACACUCCGAAAGGCUCGAAAAAAUCCCUCGGCGAAACACUCGCAAAAUUGGCUCCCAAACCACAUAGAAAUCGAUUUCUAAGCUUCAAUGUCAACGAAAAUCAUCAAAACCACCUCUUCUUAGAUCCACUGUCAAGAAUCUGCCAAAAAUUCAAUUCGAAGUUAUAAUAAUAAAAUACUAACCUUACAGUCAAUGCGCCGGAAAAAUCCAACGCGUGCACGGGCUUGAUCAUCUCGUCGGAAAGCUCGAGAUCAUCUAAACCCUUCUCUUAUUCAUCUCUUUUUUCCUUUCGCUUCUUUUCCCUUUCUCUCUCUACAUAGUAGAGGGAAGAGAAAUAAUGGAGAAGGAAUACCCUCAGGUAGGGGUGUAAACCGUGUAAUGUUGGCCAUGCCCGGCCAGCACAGCCCGCAUUAGUCAGGUCGAAACGGGCUAGGAGCUGGCCUUGCUUCAUAUCUAGGCCGGGCUAGAGCAAACAAGCCUCUAGCCCCACACGGCCCGGAAGGCCGNGUCGGGCCCCUAAAAUUUUAUUUUUUAAUUUUUUUAAAAAAUGUUAAAUUUAAAAAAUAAGAACAUAUAUUAUUUUUAGUUAAAUUGAUAUUUUGAUUAAAAAAUUUAAAAUUUUUUAAAAAAUAUAUAAAAUAACAAAUUUUUAAAUUCUUUUAAAAAAUAAACAUUUUUAUUAUUAUUUUUGAAAAAAAAAAGUUUUUGGUCCACUUCACUGCAAACCUUGGGAGAAGAGCUCCUAGAGAGAAAGGCUUGGCCCAAGGCAAGUUGCCUUGGGCCAUGGGGUCCAGGCCGUGCUGGCCUGGUUGGCAUGGCCCAAGAGGACCGGGCAACGGGCUCUUCUCGGCCCAACACGGCCCAGGCCCGUUUCGUGCUUGAAAUGGGCCUAGGCUGUGCCGGGCCAUCGGGCCUAAAAAUUGAGGCCCAGCACAACCAAGAAGUUUGAGCUGGGCCGGGCCGCCCAUGGGCAGCUCGGGCCGUUUUACAUCCCUACCUUCAGGCUUAGUGGAAAUCCAUUAUGUAACGUCACAAAUUGCUUAAAGUCCACUACAAUCCAAUAUUCUAACUUUAGUCCAAUUCUGAUAUAAUAUAUUUAAUUGGAGCCUUUCUGAAUGCCCAUUUGCUCUCAAAUUUGAUAUACAGACUUAGUUAAAGUUUAUCAAAAUUAAUUUAUUUUAAUGUUUUUUUUAAAUCAUUUUAGGUCAUCGAAAGCUCUAUCAAGUAAAAUUUUUAAUAGAUUGUUGUUAGGCUCCGUUUUCACUACUCAAGCAUCAGGAUGACACGAAACUUUAAAUUUGGCCUCAAAAAAAUAGUACAAUCAACUUUUUAAAGUUUCAUAAUUUUUCGCCACUGUAAAUUUUUCUGCUUAAAUAUUAAGCCUUGUUCCUUAUAAAAAUUCAAAAUCUCCUGUUUUCACUCCAAUUUCACCACAAUUUAUUUCUAAAUUAUCUUUUACUGCUAUAAGUCCAAUAAAAGUAGUAUUUCACACUAUUUUUGUCUACACUUGCUUAUAUAUUAAAAAUCCAAUGUACUACACUAUUAUAGAAAAACCAAACAUCCCCUAACACCUUAGUCUGGCAAAGGUUUAUGCUUAAAAUGACUUGAGGGACUUAGUUCCCUUUCAAGGGCUCCUGGAGCUCCCAAAGAGUGGAAAAUGGGGACACAUUGAAAUUAGCUCUAUGGAAGGAUUUAGAUCAACUUUGUUUAAGUCAGAACCAGUAGGUUGAAAGUCAAAACCAAUAGGUUGAAGCAAGAGCUAUCUAUGUGGACGCCACACCUGAUUUUGUCAUUUAGAACAUUUCCAUGAACAUGUAAACCUGUGGGCCCCAACCAAAGAAUAACAAAGAAAUAAAAUAAGUUAUGCUUGAACUUCUAGCCUUACCUUAAAAAGAAACAGCUAAUUUGUUACAUAUUCAUCUUUUUGGGAAAAAGUCAGCUUCCCACAUUCUAUAUGGUACCAAUUGCACUAAUUUCAGCUUUUCCAAUGUCUAAACUUUUUCCAACAAAUAAUAUAUCAGUUUCGCUGACUACCAAUUAUCUUCAAUUAUCAAUUAGUUGUACACUUUUUGCUGAUUUAGGGUAAUAUUACAUCACUGAUGUCCAAUUACAGAACCUCCUAAAUAUGUUUCUGUAUGCUGCUUUUGCUAGUGUCUUUAGAUCACAGUCGGUGCGAAAAUGCUAUUUUUUCUGAUAUUGCAAGUUGAAAGUUAGUUGGCAUUUUCUUUCCCGUGGUUUCAAAUAAUAAAAUUUAACAUCUGUUAUGCUUUCCCUAAAUUAAUCUCAUCUUCUCUUCACUAUGCAGUUGAUGGUGCAAAAACCUCAGAGUUCAAAUAUUUCAAGAAACUGUUGGAAGGAGCCAAUUAUAAAGUUUCAUCACAUGAUAGUUUUUCAAAGGCAACUAAAGAACGCGAUGGUAAAAAUCUACCGAUUUGCAAAUUGAUAUUAGAAUUGUUUGCUUUUCUAAUCUGAAGCCUUAUGUUACCGUGGUUGCCAGCUUUGUGCAUUACAAGUCAAUGCAGCCUUGUCAUUUAAUAUUUGUAUUACAACUGAUUUAUAUAUCAGCCAUGUUUCCCUCUUUUUCUUUUCUUAUCCUUUUUUCCUUUUGUGUGUGCGUUUUUGUGUGUGUGUGUGUGCGCGCGUGUGCAGAGUCACAUAAUGCAAUGAUAGACGAAUCUGGCAUAAGAAGUUUCUCAUUGCCUACUCAAAAUUGCCCACCUAUUACAGAUGGGGUCUCUGGUUCAUGCGAAGGAUCCGGUACAUUUAGAGGUUCUUUAUGGUAGAUUUCCUUUGAACUUGUAGAACUUAAAUUCUUCACUCAUACUUGUCAAUCUUUCACAGCAUUGACCCACACAGCACUGUGCAAGUCUGAUUCAAGCAGGUGCUUAUCGCCCAUUCUCAAAGUCACUCCACAAGCUCAGCAGUCCUCAUUUCUGCUUUUAGAAAGUGCAAGGAGCUAUGGUGAGCAUUUAUCUAAGUGGCUUGUACUCAAAUGUAUCUAAUAACACCAAAGAAGGUUGUCAUCGACGUUGAUGACAAUGUUUCCCAUGCCAUGGCAUAGGGGCAUACUGGUGAUGUGACUGCUUAAUACAUUCUGUGCUGAUUUUAAAUUUUAUAUCAAGGCGAUUGCUUUUUAAUAAAAAGGUUGUCUAACGAAUUUAGGCUAUAUCAUAAGAUCGCUCAACAUAAGAAACAUGAGCACCGGAGGAGGCGUGGGGCACAUAAACUGUGUCAAUACUUCAGCACCAAAAAAAAAAGUGUCAUUUUCAUUUUCCUGUAAAUGAUAUAGUUUGCAUUUCAAAAUAGUGUAACAAGUCAAAAAAAGAUAAUUUUAUUUUGAAAGUAAUCAAACUUUCAAUAUUGUUCCACGUAGAAAAGCAUAGGACAUUGUAUAUGUUCAUUGGUUUUUCUGAAGUACCAAAGAUCUUUUCUCUGCACAUUUGAUGUGUCAUGGGAUCUCUGCAUGCUUCCUCCUCGCCUAGAUGUCCUCACAAGUAGAAGGGUCCAAAAGCAGCAUCUUGAUGCACUUGAUUCAUCCAACACGUAUUUGACACUUGAAAGGGGCUACUGAUGCAUGUCCGGACUCAGGCACCUCUUUUUUUAUUUGUCACAACCCUGGAGCUUACUUUAAAGGACUACCCAGAACUUAUUAAUGGGCUCCUUGUUCGUAUGUGUUUUAUCAAUGUACAAUUUUAUAAACAACUUUGCAAGUAUCUCGUCUUGAAGUAUUAUUCAUUUUCUUUGUUCAAGUGUUCAUUAGCUGUAAAUUUUUCAGAUAAUUUAGCAUUUAUGAAUAUUCAUAAGUCGUCAUGUGUUCUUCUUUAGUUCUUUUUCCCCUGCCACUUACCAAUGUGAGAAGGUGGAUUUCGCUGCAUUUUGUAACUACUCUGUCUUUGCCUCUCAGGAAGAGUGUAUGAGCAUGGAGGGGUGUUCUCAGAAAAGAGGAACAAAUUAAUGAAGUUAGCAGCCAAGACAUUGUCUCUUGAAAAGGAUGAGUUCUUACUGAGGUCUGGUUAUAUCCUUGAGAAUCUCCAUUAGUUUAGAAGUUCCUCGUGUUCUUAUCUAAUGCUUUACUAUCUCAGAUCAGAUAUAACUUCCGAUUUCAUGGAGAGGCUGCACAUUAAGAAAAAGUCAGACAGUGUAUGCUUCUUCAACUUUUCCAUAAAAUUUGGACUUAUUUCAUGCCUUUCGGCACUAUUCUGGUUAUCGAUUUCAACUAUCAACAGUUCAUAUGAAAUUGUGACUAGAUUUCUUGAGAAAAUAAUCUGAUGCCGUAUUGCAGCAUAAAAAGCUUUCAAUUUCUUGGCAGAAGAAAGCAUGCAGCCGACAGCAUUCACUAGCAGUUUCUUCAAAGAGUGAUCCCUUAAUGAGACUGCAUUACUUUGAAUCCACUGAUAUUGAGUCAAUGACUUCAAGGAAAAGCUCAAGAAAGGAUUUGCCUUCUAAAGAAGCCGGUGAACUCAUUGCAUUACCAUGGGAACACGAUAAGAUCUGGGCUUCUAACUCACGUGCGGUUGAACCAAGCUGCCUUCAGCAUCACAGGCGAUCCAACUGGGUAGUAGAUGAUCCCGAAACCUCAGAACUCCAUACCAAAAAUAAAACAGAAUUGUCUCAUUUACUCGUACCAUAUUCCAAUUCAACAUCGUUGGAGUUACGUGAUCUUCGUACGCCAGUAGAGAAAUUUAAUUCUCGAUUAGUUGAAUGGGACGAUAACUUGAGAGAAAAUAAUACACUGCUUAACAAUAAUUUGCCCUUGACAAUUUAUAAUGGUUCGAGAUUUCCUAAUCUUACGAGCAAGUGUGGAAAUCUUAAUGAUUACAACAGUGGAAAUGUUUUUGACUCUCCUAUCAACAGCUGUGGUGUAAUACUCCGAGAUAGAGACCAGCAGAAAAAGUAUGAGUUAUUUUCAUCUUCGGCAUAUGGUUAUGAGCUACAAAAGAAUGACAUGCCUUUUCUUGCUAUGGAAUUUUACUCACCGAUCCCUAUGAAUAUCCAAUUUUAUGAUCCAAAAUUGAGAAACAGAACUGGCAGCAUGUUUACUGCAGAUGGACAUGAUGGUUGUGCAGAUGAGAGAAGCCUAGUGUUGGUCCCAGAAAAUUCAUCUUAUGGUGUUUCUAGUUUCAACAAUUACUGGUUCUUGGAUCCAAAGUUUUCUCUGGAAGGAUUAGAAAGGAUAUCCACACUUUCUGAUUGACCAAGUUGGUAAUGGUAUCAAAGAGAGCACACUUUCUGAUUGACCAAGGUGGUAAUGGUAUCAAAGAGAGCAUGAGCUAAUCCCUUGUUCAAGUGAUAACUGAUCAUUUCUCUCAUUUCGCCAAAUCGAGGAAUUAAUCAGAUAAAUCAGGGUAUUUUUAUUAGAAAAUCUUUUAUUUUCUCGUGAUACGUCAAGCAAGUUAUCUGCCGGAUUUUAGAAGCAUAAGCUGACAACCUCAUUAUCAAGAGGUGUUCUGGGCAUAAGCUGAUGCUGCUGCAUUUUGAUCUCUGUUAGCUUAUUAUCUUGUACUAUCACUGAAGUUUGCAACCCGUUUAAUUUGACUUGCAAUAGUGCUAAUAUGGUUAAUAAACCCCUCACAUGUACAAAAAACAUUGGUGACUUCCUGCCACCACGAAGCAAUGUGAUUAGAUACACAUUUACAUCCUUCACUUGUAGUUAGUUAGGGCAAAAAGCGAUUUGUUGGCGGUUCAUAAAUUUAUAUUUCGCAGUUAGUGUUUUUUGUCGGAUAGAAGAAAGAGUCGUGAUUGUAAGAAAAUCAUGAUGAUACCAUGAGACACAAACUGGCCCUGUUAUGUUAAUUUGCAUCAUACUUGGCUGUCACUUCAGUUUUUAAUUUGAUCCAAGCUCUGGAUCGCAGUUGAGUGGACUUCUGAAAAACAAUUUGUACCCAUUUUUUUUCAGUUUUAGGGCCCGUUUCGCUUGGAUUCUAAAGAAGUGAUUUCUACUUGGUUUGCAAAAGUGAUUUAUGUUAAUAGUAGUAGAGCGUUCGGCUGAGUCUGAUAGAAAAGUAAUUUUGUUAAAAUGAUUUUAAAAAGUUGUUUAGCAAAAUUAUUUGUUGAAGUGAUUUUGUAAUGCUGUUUAAUAUUAGUUUAUUAAUUUAUUUUGUAAUGAAGUUAAUAAACCUAGAAAAUUUAAUGUUACAUACAAUAUAUUAUAAUAAAUAAGUCCGGCUGGAAUACUAUCGAUAGCACCAAGGGCUUGAUGCUAUCGAGUUUUUUACCAUUAGAUUUAACCCUUUGAUUAUUUUUAUCCGUUAGAUUAUACUAUUCAACCAACCACCCACUCAACCCUAGGGAGCCCACAGCAUCUUAACCGCAUAUUUUUCAAUCCAAGGGCUAAAAAACUAAUAGCACUAAUAGCUUGGUGCUAUUAAUAGUAUUCCAGUCUAGUUCUAUAAUAAACAUCAAAAUUUAUUUUGAUGUUUAUUAUAAUAAACAUCAAAGAAAGUUACAUACAAUAUAUUAUAAUAAUUUAUUAAUGUUAAUAAUUAAAAUUUUUAAAAAGUAUACUUUUUUAUAUAUAUAAUAUAUUUUUAAUACAAAUUUGAUUUUAAGUUCUAUUAACAUAUAAAUAAAAAUUUUAAUCGAUCCAAAUCAGUCGUAUUUUAAUUUUUUAUAAUUUUUUAUAAUCACAUUUCCAUUUAUCGCACUAGUAGCACCCAAUCCGGCCUGACUCGGUCUUUUCGAAUCCCACUGGUGACGAUCCGGCCGGAUCCAGCAAGGACAGAUUCCGCCGGCGCGAAUCCAGCUGGAUCCGCCGAGCUAUCGGGGAAGAGAGAGAGAGAGAUCUGUUUUUUUAAAAAAAAGGAUGGAGGGAGAGAGAUGGAGAAGUUAGUGAGGAGAGGAAGGUGAAACAAAAUUUAUUGGAGUUGGGAAGAGAGUUAACUGUGAGAAGAGUUUGUGGGAAUAGUAAAUAUAAAUAGUAAAGAAAAGAGGGUACUGGAAAAUAUUAAUUAAUUGAAUAUGAAAGGAUAGAGUAAAUUUAUGUUAUUUAUUUAGGGGUAGUUAGGUAUUUUUAUAAAGGGUUAAAAAUUUUAAAUGGAGAAAGUAAUUUUGCAAGAAUCAAUUUUGGAGAAGCAGCAUUUUUUUGUUGCUGAUUCUGAAGCUUGAAAAUUCAGUUUUCUUAUUCUGAGAAGAAAAAUCAAAAUUUUCGACUUUUACUGUCAAACGCUCUACUGAGCCCAAAAUCACUUUUGCGCUCAAAAUCAAACAAUACUUAGGUGUAGUUAGGUAUAUUUAUAAAAAUUUUAAAUGGAGAAAGUAAUUUUGCGAGAAUCAAUUUUGGAGAAGCAGCAUUUUUUGCUUCUAAUUCUGAAUCUUGAAAAUUCAGUUUGCUUAUUCUGAAAAGAAAAAUCAAAAUUUUCGACUUUUACUGCCAAACGCUUGUACUGAGCCCAAAAUCACAUUUGCGCUCAGAAUCAAACAAUAUUUAGGGGUAGUUGGGUAUUUUUAUAAAAAUUUUAAAUGGAGGAAGUAAUUUUGCGAGAAUCAAUUUUGGAGGAGAAGCAUUUUUUGCUUUUGAUUUUGAAGCUUGAAAAUUCAGUUUUCUUAUUCUAAAAAGAAAAAUCAAAAUUUUCGACUUUUACUGCCAAACGCUCUACUGAGCCCAAAAUCACUUUUGAGCUCAAAAUCAAACACCCCUUCAUCAUCUCGCAACUUCGAAAGGAUGUUUGUACCGUCAACGUUGCCUUCUGUGAUGCUAAUUGACUGAAAAGUGGAGUUAACUCUUUUUGAAAGAUACCGACCAUCCCUAGCGCAAAUGGCAAAAAGUUUGGUGGUUGGUACCCAAGGUCCCAAGUUCGAAUCCUAAUUAAUUAACAUUUUCAGCUAAGUUUAUUUCUAAAUGAAAUAAACAGAGCGGGUAGCAUGCUACCUAUCUAUCUCAAAAAAAAAAAAAAAAAAAAAAAAAAAAAAAACGUUUUUUGAAAGAUAAAUUUGUUACAAUAAGCUUAAGAGCAUUUACGCAAAAUAUAAAUUGAAUGAAUCACAUGUAAAAUCUACAUGGAUUUACAAUAAAGCCAUCGUGCCUGUUAGAAUAAUAAUCCCAAACUUAAUUAAAAUAUAAUUAGAGAUAAGUUUAAGUCUUUUAUUUGAUUAUGAUUAGGAUUUGUAAUUAUCCAAACUAAAAGUUAGAUUUAUCGAAUGGGUUAAUUAGAUGAAUAAGCCACAGUAGAAAUGGCUGUAUCGGUGUUGCUCAGGAUGUAGUUAAUUAUUUUUUAUUAAUAAAGUAUUAGUUUAGUUUUUUUCUUCCUCCUCUAAUAGCUCUUCUCAAUAUUAUUUUGUUCGAUUUUAGAUCUUGGGUUAUAUAAUCGGUUUCGACAAUUGGUAUUAGAGAAAAUCACGCUUCCACACAUUUACAGCAGUCUAUAUAUAGGCAUAAAUCAAAAUCCUAAUAGCAAUAAUUGAACAUGAUUUAAACUUAUCUCUUAUGUAUAACCAAUAAAAUAUUAACAUAUAAAGUUGACUGAAAUAAAUCUAAACUUACAAAAAUAUUGGGUUACUUAUUAACAUCCUCCCUUAAUCCAACUUUUCACAUUCCGAGUAGCUUUCAUAGUUUCACGAAAUUUUUCGACGUCAGCGGCUUCGUAAAUAUAUCGGUGACUUGAUUCUCUCUUCUGUAAAAGUGUAGCUCGAUCUCGUUCUUCUUCACAAGUUCUCGAACAUAAUGAUAAUGACUUCAAUAUGUUUACACAUUCCAUGAAAAACUAGAUUUUUCACGAUUGCUAUAGCCGAGCUAUUAUCACAAAAUAUUUGCACACCACAACAAAAAUGAUUUUUAGUGGCGACUUUUUGGUCGUGACAGGCACUGUGGUCACCAAUGUAUUUAAUAUGGUGGCGACAUUUAUUUGUCCUCGCCAAUGCAUAGAAAAUGGCGGCGACAUAUAACAGUCGCCGCCGAUACGGAGAUGCAUUGGCGGCGACAUAUAAGAGUCGCUACUGAUACUAAAAAUGUAGCCAUCGAUACAGAGAUGCGGCGACAUGUUUAUCGCCGCCAAAAGAUUUUCGUGGCGACAAUUUUGGCUAUGGUGGCGACAUUUGUCGCCACUAAAUCUUGUACUUGUAGUAGUGGCAGGAAGAAAUUGGAAUUUAAGAAGUAGAAAUUCGACCCAACAGCGAAGAUACAGAAGCCCCAAUUUGCAAAGAAAUUUGGAAAGUAUCAUACGAUUUCUUAACAAAACGAAAGGGUAGUUGGCGAUACAGAUGGUUCAAAUUCAUAUAGAAGAACAAGAGGGAGAGGUAAUUACCACAAUCUGCAAAGGUAUGACAAAUCUCGGAUUCAAUGUUAUUAUUACAAUAAAUAUGGGCACUAUCAAUCUGAAUGUAAAAGAAAACAAGCCGAUGAGCAAAAUAAUAUUAAUACAAAUUUUGUUGAAAAUAAGGAUGAAAAUAAUACACCUAUGCUUCUCGUUUGCAAUAUUGUUGAAACACCAAAAAAUAAUAUUUGGUAUUUAGAUUCAGGCCGUAGCAACCACAUAUGCGGUAAAAGAGAGAUAUUUAUAAAUUUAGAUAAUAAAGUAAAAACAAUGGCAAAACUGGGAGAUGAAAGAAAAAUUAUUGUUCAAGAAAAAGGUGACAUUUUAAUUCGAGCACAUAAUGGUGAUCAUAUUAUAAUAUCUGAUGUUUAUUAUGUGCCUGAAUUAGAAUGGAAUCUAUUAAGUAUUGACCAAUUUCAAGAAAAGGGUCAUAUUGUGCAUAUUAAAAAAGGAAUAUGCGAAUUGAAGGAUAAAGAUAAUAGAUUAAUUGCUAGAGUGCCAAUGACUAAAAAUCUCAUAUUUCCAUUGAGAAUUGAUAAUAAUACUUUACCAUAUUUCAAUACAAUUGUGCAUGAUGAAUCUUGGUUAUGGCAUUUACGGUUUGGUCAUUUAAAUUUUCCAUCUUUGAAAAAAUUGUCUAGUAAAAAUGUAAUACCCCACACUUUUAACUUUUUGUUUUGACUCCAAUUUACUUUAAGUUUGGACCUUUUCGUAAUUUCGGAUCUUCGAGGGACUCGGUGGCAUUUUGUUGCUUAAUUAGUCCCUAACUAAUUAGGCCCUUUCUUUUGAUACGAACCCCCCACCCGAUCCAUCUCUCUCUUUCGCUCGAUCUCCCUCUCCUCUCUACGCCCGUACGACCUCCGCCGCUCCCCUUGUGCACGCGCGACGCCAUCCGUUCCCUAUCGUCGUCGCCGUCAUCCGUAGCCGCCUCCACCGCAUUUCCCAUUGGCCAUUAUUUUCUUUUGGUUCGUUAUCAACGGAAUCUUGCCGCCGUCUUCACCGUUUUCGAGAAGGUUUUUCUCCUUCCCUCAUUUUACCUUUGUGUCGGAUCUUAUAAUCACCCAACCUCUCUAUUCGUCAUUAUAUUUUAUUAUUUUGAAUACUCGUUUCUUGAUUAUUGAAAAUUGAAAUCACUAAAAUCUGAUUUCGUAAUACCUAAUCCUCGUCGUUUGAGCAGCUUAAUUUUAUAUAUUGUAUCCUCUGUAUGAUCUUGUUGCUUAAUACUUCACAUACUACUCACCUAUUGGAAUGUCCGUUAUAUGCUCGAUAAAAUGCCUAAGAGAAGGCGUGCGUCGUUUUAUCUCUAAUUUUGAUCCCAUUCGAUUAUUAUUGUAAAAAUUGUUUUAUAUAUGUAUUAACCCCUCUGUUUGAAUAUAAAAAUCUUUGUUUAUUAUUUAAAUUCCCGUUCAUGUUAUAUUCUUGGAAUAAUUUAAAUUCUUCAAAAACUCCUUCAUCCUUUUGAUCGCUAUUGGAGGUUCGUCGAAUUUAUUGUUCUAAAUCCCUUUGUGCUCCAUCCCGACCUAAUUGCAUACCAUUAUUUUCUCUUUGCAUGUUCAUUUCGGUUAGCUUAUAGAGAAUCGCGUGUCUCUAUUUUUAGGUCCCGACGAUUGAUUUUCUGCACAUUUUCGACUGGAUAAUUUCUAUCUUUGAAGCUACGUUAAGGUAAGCGACCGAACACCCGUUAGUUUUUGUAAGAUAAUUUAGGAAAAUAUUUUGAUUGUACGAAAAUCUUAUUUUGUAGAAUUUAAAAUUAAGGGUUAAGCAUAUUAUUAAAUAUCUCUGUAUAUUGAGUUUCAAUCGUGAUUGACAAGUUCGUUUAGCAAAAAGAAUUUUUGAAAUCUGAUAAUUUAUUCUGCAAAUUAGUGACUGGAUAUAUUUUGAUUUAUGAUGUCUCUUGGUAUUCUGCUAUGCAAUGUUGGCCAUGUCGACAUGUACUUUGUUAUAGAAGCAAGCUUCGUCUUUGUUUGCACCUUCGGGUGCCUGCGCCUAUCCGCGCCUCUGUUUUGUUCGCGCCUUCGGGUGCCUCUGUUUUGUUUACGCCUUCGGGUGUCUUUGGAUCUUGCCAACGGAUCAUAAGAUAUAGUUAAGUGCCGGAGACAAUAUUUAUUUUGUUUAUAUGUCGAAAGGGAAAUGCUUUGAAAAAUUAUAGUUUCAAUCCGAUCCGAAUUUGAAGUUUUGAUAAAUUCUUAUUUUCUUAAAUCUUGCAAAUUAAAACCAGUCGCUUGAAUUAAUUUGUGUAUCUAGUUAUUUGUAUGCUUAAUCCGACUAAUGUGGUGUAUGGUUGCUUACCCAGGUACUGAGACCGAUUCGCAGGGCGGGGCUGGGAGCGAGUGAACGUUAGAUGUAGCUAGAUUUUAUUCUAGCCUCUUCGUCUUAUUUCUAUUGCAUUUAGAUAUGAACUUUGAACUUCGUAGAUAAUCAUUCGUUUAUCUGUUCCUACUUUAUUGUUUCUUCGUACCUACAAUAUCUGUUAGAACAAUUUCGGUUUGUGUUGCAUCAUAAACUUUAGUUUUGCUUAUAGGAUACUUCAGUUGAUUUUAGUUGCAAUUAAAUUGUUAGCCUCAUCUUUCGACUAUUUGGAUUUAAUAGAAAUUUUUCUUUAUGAUCAUCUUUUGUUUGUUAAUUGUCUGACUUUGUAGCCUUGCAUAUUUACUAAUUUAGUAGAUAUGCGGCAUCUGUUAUGCCUCGGGUUUGGGGCGUGACAGAGAAAUGGUAUCGGAGCUUAGGUUUAAGAUCUUUUGUAACUUUAAGGUAUAGGAUUGUGAGAGUUUAUUAGGACGUGUGAGGAUGGGUAAAAAGUAGGCGCGUGUUUGAUCCUAUUUGAUUAUUGUUUACAGUUUUCGUUAAUGUUUUGCAUUUACGUGUUUGUGAUAUCCUCUCUUGUUAAGAUGGUGCGUCCGACCCGUCGUAACAACACCAAUAAUGAGCAAUCGAGGAACCCGCCUCCAGCCAGAUCCAGAGAUGCAGAUCUAGACAUCACCUUAGCCUCACUUUUGAAUACCACGUCCUCGACAGCCCUUCCACCUAUCCAGAAUCCGCUUCAGUCAACUAUAGCGCCUCCAACGAACCCUUCGGCUUUUGUUCCACUGCUGCAGCAAACCUUCAGUACGGGGAUACCUUCGACGGCCGCUCCCACUACCUUUUCGUUUCCGCCGUCGACUGCACCUUCUGGUUUUGUUCCAUUGCCGCCACAACCUACUAUUCCCACCCACUCCGCCAGUUUACCGCAGAGCGCCACGAUGGACCCCUUGGUUGCCACCCUGAUACAAGCUGUUGUCGGACUAGUUCAGACUCAGCAGCAAAAUUUACAGCAGAAUCCAGCUCCUAGUGCCGCGGAGUCAAGUUCCAGAGUUCGAGAGAGGAGCAUCAACGAAUUUAAGAAGUCUGCUCCUCCACCUUUUUCGGGCGCUACAAACCCGGACGAAGCGGAAAAUUGGAUCAAGGAGAUGGAAAAAGCAUUUACGGCAAUGCAGUGCACCGAUGAAGAGAAAGUCAGAUUCGGGACAUUCAUGCUUCAGGGCAGAGCGAAUAAUUGGUGGGAAAGCGAGUUGAGGACCCGCGGUAGCAAUUUAUCAGCCAUUUCGUGGAAGGAUUUUCGAUCGGCGUUUUAUGCUAAGUACUUUCCAAGGAGUAAACUUCGUCAGCUCGAGAGGCAAUUUCUAGAUCUAAAACAAGGGUCCAUGUCUGUAGAGGAGUACGAGGCCGAGUUUGAUCGACUCUCUCAGUUUGCUCCGAAAUUGGUGGAUGAUAAUGAAUCGCGGGCCAAAAGGUUUGAAGAAGGACUGAAUGGAUAUAUUCGUACUGGCCUCGCACCUCUACACCUUGAGACAUACGACGAAGUUGUUUCGAGGGCAAAAUCCUUAGAUUCAGUAUGGAGACAGACUUGAGAGGAGCGCAAUGCAAAUCAGAAGAAGAGAAAUAGAGAUUCUUUCAGAAAGGGAGAUCGGAAUGCAAGAGGGUCGGACAGAUCUAGUGAUUCUGGGAGAUCGCGUAAUAUGCUAGCUCCUCAUGGUGGACCACCAAAUCGGGAUCAGAAGCCGAAAUGCUCAGUUUGUGGAGGGUCACAUAAGGAUUCCGACUGCAGACAUGUGACUGGUGGUUGCUUCAGAUGCGGCGACUUGAAUCAUCGAAUAGCUCAGUGCCCUUUACUUAGCACUAACUCUAGCACUGGAUCCAAGCCUCAGGAGAAAUUUGCUGCUCCAGCCGAUCAUGAUCGUGCCCCUCCUACUGGUCAGCCUAGAGGUGGAAGGCCUCGGACGCAGGGACGUGUCCAGGCUCUCUCUUGGCAGGAUGCUCAGGCAUCUAAUGCCGUGGUCUCAGGUAUUCUGCCCGUAAAUUCUGCUUUUGCCUAUAUUCUCUUUGAUUCUGGAGCUACACAUUCUUUUGUAUCUUCUGCUUUUGUUCGAAAGUCUAUGUUACCCUCUGAACCUUUGGAUUAUACUUUAUGUGUUGGUACACCUUUGGGGGAGGAGUUUGUGAUUGACCGAGUUUGUAGGAGCAUGGUCAGAUUGGAUAAUAGGAGCUUAUUGGCAAAUCUCCAUGUUAUGGACAUGCGAGACUUUGAUGUGAUUUUGGGGAUGGACUGGCUUUCGUCCCACUUUGCUACUUUGAAUUGUCGGGAGAAGCGGGUGGAAUUCAACAUUCCUGGGGAGGCAAAUUUUGCUUUUCUUGGGAAUGGAGCUUACACCCCACCUCCGAUCAUUUCUUCCUUGCAGGCUACUCGUCUCUUAAGGAGUGGCUGCGCUGGAUUUGUGGCUCUGGUGAAAGAUCUGAAUUUAAUUACUCCGAGAUUAGAAGACAUCCCGGUAGUAAAUGAAUUUCCGGAUGUUUUUCCAGAGGACCUCCCUGGGCUACCGCCAGAUAGGGAGAUUGAAUUUCGUGUUGAUUUAGCUCCAGGAACAAAUCCAAUUUCAAAGACACCUUACCGGAUGUCACCAGUUGAGCUCAAGGAACUGCAAAUGCAACUUCAGGAACUUCUGGACAAGGGAUUCAUCAGACCGAGUGUCUCUCCUUGGGGCGCUCCAGUACUUUUCGUCAAGAAGAAGGAUGGUACUAUGAGAUUAUGUAUCGAUUAUCGUGAGCUAAACAGAAUGACUGUGAAGAAUCGAUACCCCUUACCAAGAAUCGACGACUUAUUUGAUCAGCUUCGAGGUGCAGAAGUCUUUUCCAAGAUUGAUCUACGAUCAGGAUACCAUCAGCUGAAGGUCAGAGCCGAAGAUAUACCCAAAACUGCUUUUCGCACACGCUAUGGGCAUUACGAGUUCCUGGUAAUGCCUUUUGGAUUGACUAACGCUCCAGCCGCUUUCAUGGAUCUGAUGAAUAGAGUAUUCAAACCCUUCUUGGAUAAGUUUGUUGUCGUAUUCAUAGACGACAUUCUGGUGUACUCUAGCAGUUCAGCUGAGCAUAAGAAACAUCUCAGGAUAGUUUUGGAAACUCUUCGACAAAGGAAACUCUACGCUAAGUUUAAAAAGUGUGAAUUUUGGUUGCAAAGUGUUUCCUUCCUCGGACAUAUUGUGUCUAAGGAAGGUAUUUCAGUGGAUCCUUCAAAGAUAGAAGCUGUGAAAAAUUGGCCACGACCAAGCAACGUCACCGAGGUUCGAAGUUUUGUGGGCUUAGCAGGAUACUAUAGAAGAUUUGUGGAAGGUUUCUCCCGCCUAGCUGCACCAUUGACUCAGUUGACACGAAAAGGAGUUAAAUUUCAGUGGUCGGAUAAAUGUGAACAAAGCUUUUUGGAAUUGAAGAAACGCUUAAUAUCAGCACCUAUCCUUACCUUACCUAUUAGUGGUGAGGGAUUCACUAUUUACAGUGAUGCCUCGAAGAAAGGAUUGGGAUGCGUCCUGAUGCAGAAUGACAAAGUGAUUGCCUAUGCUUCCCGACAGCUGAGGCCAUUCGAGGAGAACUACCCGACCCACGACCUAGAAUUGGCAGCAGUAAUCUUUGCACUGAAAAUUUGGAGACAUUACCUCUACGGCGAGCCUUGUGAGAUUUUUACCGACCACAAAAGUUUAAAGUACAUCUUCACACAGAAAGAACUUAACAUGCGACAAAGAAGGUGGCUAGAACUAUUGAAGGACUACGAUGUGACCAUCAAGUAUCAUCCGGGCAAGGCCAACGUCGUAGCGGAUGCCCUCAGCAGAAAAUCAAUAGGGAAUAUAGCGACAUUGGUUACUUCUCAGCGACAUAUUUUAGAGGAUCUCAGACGGCUCGACAUAGAAAUUCACAUCCAUGGGUCUGAAGCUCAUCUAGCUAACCUGCAGGUUCAACCUACACUGAUUGAUAGGAUCAAGUCAGCCCAGGCGAAUGACAUUCAUCUUCAGAAGACACGACAUUUAGUGGAAUCAGGAGCACAAUCGGAGUUUAGAAUUCAUGAAGAUGGCUCUUUGAGAUUUAGGAACCGGUUAUGCGUUCCUAAGAAUCCGGAUUUUAAAAACGAAAUUUUGAAGGAGGCUCAUUAUUCGGGAUAUUCAGUGCAUCCUGGAGGAACCAAAAUGUACAGAGAUUUGAAGAACGUCUUCUGGUGGAGUAACAUGAAAAGGGAGAUCGCAGAGUUCGUGGCUAAGUGUUUGACUUGCCAGCGUGUGAAAAUCGAUAAGCAGAGAUCAGCCGGCUUACUUCAGCCCCUUCCUAUUCCUGAGUGGAAAUGGGAGAGAAUAACUAUGGAUUUUGUUACUCGACUACCUAGAAGUGAGAAGGGCAACGAUGCAAUUUGGGUCAUAGUUGAUAGAUUAACUAAGUCAGCGCACUUUCUGGCGGUAAAGACGGGCAUGACUUUGGAGAAACUAGCGGAGCUCUAUAUUGCACAAAUAGUACGUCUACAUGGUGUUCCAGUUUCGAUCGUGUCUGAUCGUGAUUCAAGGUUCGUGGCUCACUUCUGGAAAGGAUUACAUAAAGCUUUGGGAACCACACUGGACUUCAGUACCGCCUUCCAUCCGCAGACAGAUGGCCAAUCCGAGAGGACGAUUCAAAUUUUAGAAGACAUGUUACGCUCUUGUGUAAUCGAUAUGAAAGGCUCUUGGGAUCAUCACCUACCAUUGGUUGAGUUUGCCUACAAUAAUAGCUUCCAGGCCAGCAUUCAAAUGGCUCCCUUCGAAGCUUUGUAUGGAAAGAAGUGUAGAUCCCCUCUCUGUUGGGAUGAUGUUGGUGAGAGAAAGCUACUUGGUCCGAAAAUUGUGCAACAAACUAUUGAGAAGGUUCAUUUGAUUAAGGAGCAUCUCAGAGCAGCUCAGAAUCGACAGAAGAGCUACGCUGAUAAUCGAAGAAGACCGCUCGAGUUUGAAGUCGGAGACUAUGUCUUCUUGAAAGUGUCACCUUCAAGAGGUAUUAUGCGCUUUGGAAUUCGUGGGAAGCUUAGCCCUCGUUAUGUGGGCCCUUUUGAAAUACUUGAAAGAAUUGGUGACGUAGCGUACAGACUUGCCUUACCGCCUUCUUUAGCUGGAGUGCAUAACGUCUUUCAUGUAUCUAUGUUGAGAAAAUAUGUUCACGAUCCGAGCCACAUUGUAGAGCCGGAACCUUUGCAGCUUAGAGAAGAUCUAUCUUAUGACGAACAGCCGAUACGUAUCGUUGACCGAAAGGAGCAAGUUUUGAGAAGACGGACCAUUCCAUAUGUUAAAGUCCAGUGGAGCAAUCAUUCUGAACGAGAAGCUACUUGGGAACUUGAAGAGUAGAUGAGGACGAAGCACCCUCAACUUUUCGAGAGCUAAGGUGUGUUAAGUUUAGAGGACUAAACUUCUUUUAGGAGGGGUAGAUGUAAUACUCCACACUUUUAACCUUUUGUUUUGACUCCAAUUUACUUUAAGUUUGGACCUUUUCGUAAUUUCGGAUCUUCGAGGGACUCGGUGGCAUUUUGUUGCUUAAUUAGUCCCUAACUAAUUAGGCCCUUUCUUUUGAUACGAACCCCCUACCCGAUCCAUCUCUCUCUUUCGCUCGAUCUCCCUCUCCUCUCUACGCCCGUACGACCUCCGCCGCUUCCCUUGUGCACGCGCGACGCCAUCCGUUCCGUAUCGUCGUCGCCGCCAUCCGUAGCCGCCUCCACCGAAUUUCUCAUUGGCCAUUAUUUUCUUUUGGUUCGUUAUCGACGGAAUCUUGCCGUCGUCUUCACCGUUUUCGAGAAGGUUUUUCUCCUUUCCUCAUUUUACCUUUGUAUCAGAUCUUGUAAUCACCCAACCUCUCUAUUCGUUGUUAUAUUUUAUUAUUUUGAAUACUCGUUUCUUGAUUAUUGAAAAUUGAAAUCACUAAAAUCUGAUUUCGUAAUACCUAAUCCUCGUCGUUUGAGCAGCUUAAUUUUAUAUAUUGUAUCCUCUGUAUGAUCUUGUUGCUUAAUACUUCACAUACUACUCACCUAUUGGAAUGUCCGUUAUAUGCUCGAUAAAAUGCCUAAGAGAAGGCGUGCGUCGUUUUAUCUCUAAUUUUGAUCCCAUUCGAUUAUUAUUGUAAAAAUUGUUUUAUAUAUGUAUUAACCCUGCUGUUUGAAAGAUAAAAAUAUUUGUUUUAUUAUUUAAAUUCCCGUCAAUGUUAAUAAUCUUGGAUGAUUUAAAUUCUUCAAACUCCUUCAUCCUUUUGAAUCGCUUAUUGGAGGUGUUCGUCGAAUUUUAAGCUCGCACUAGGUAACUUUAGAGCCGAUAUGUUGUGUUUAUAGCUCGGUAGAGACGGUCAGGUGAACAACGUUGCGAGUAUUUGCUUGUGGACAAUCCGUUCCUGGACCCACUUGCUGAAUUGACAGCCUGGACCUUUGGCAGGCGUAGUAGCUGUGUGAAAGCGGCCUGACAACUCUGUGGGUUCAGGGCAGAGUUGUCAGGAUGGUAGCUGAGCAUAAUCGGUAAUUGUGGUAUGGCCCACAAUAGUGGACACGUGUGAUUAGUAGACGCUGAAGGGGCAAGGUUUUAACCUAAUCCUAGAGAGUUUGAGUUGCCUCCUGAGUAGGUAGGAGUAGAGUGUGAGAAUCUUUCAAAUGAGGACGUUAAUGCGAUGAUAUGGAUCUACUCUUGCAACAAGAGACGUUUACGUGUAAUCGAAUUGAAGCUAGGGAUAGACCUUAUGUCGAAUAGUGAUUGGUGAACGAUUUACAGUAUUGGGAACAGAUAGUUACCGUGUGCAUGGAAGUGAAAAGCAUGUGGACAUAUCCAGGUGGAUUGUGAGUAGAGAGCCGUAAAGAGCGGAGGCAUCGUCCUGUGUGUUGAGAUCACCCUGAUAUGAAACUAAGAUUGAAAAACUACGAACGAGAGUGUUUGAGAAAACUGAUUGGAAAAAUCAGUGUAGUGUGGAAUGGAGUAAAACUUUGAUGGUAUGCUUUCUAUUACUGUUGCUGAUUGCUAGAAACUUAAUCCUCCAAUCCGUUAAAGCACAUGAGGAGAGAAUUGUAUCUAAGUUUCGCGGACAGAAACUUUGGUUAACAAGGGGAGAUUUGUAAUAAUAUGGAAAACUUGAGUGUGAUGCAACUUUGACCCAGAGGAUCAAAGUAAAGGCUUGAGACUGGUUUUGCGAAUCUUCCCCCGAGUGAUUUUAGAUGUGUUGGGAAAAAAUUCCGGAGAGAAUAAGUGUCUGCUCGGCGCAAUGGGACAAAACAAAAUAUAAAAAAGGAGUUUUUCGGAUCACGGACGCCAACUUGGAUUAAAUAAAGCAAAGUGAGGCUUGAGGAUAAAUUAGUGGUAUCUCUGAAUCAAUUGUGAACUUGGGAAUAAGCAAUAGAUGGUAUAUUUAGAAGGUUUGACAUGUUGUAUGAAGUGGUAACACAAAAAGAAGCCGGAGUGAAGCGGCUGCCAAAGUAAAGAAUUGCAAAUUGGCGUUAUUUUGAGGCUUAAUUGAUCAGUUAAUGCAAAAAUGAAAAAUGAUUGUUUCAAAAAUUAAAGUUGGAAGCAUGAAGGGUAGUUAAGCUAAUCCGGCGAAUGGUCCCGAAGCGUGUCGACUCAAGUUUGGAAGCAAAAGAAGCUUCGAAAGCAUGUUGCUACCAGGAACAGCAAGUUGCAUUAGUUAGUCUUGAUCAUCCGGAAAUCAACAGAAAGCAAGAAAGUAAAAAUAGUUUGUUCUCAAGAUAAAUUGAGAGCUUAGGUGAUGUAAUUUGGUAUGUAUCGGAACGUUUAAUAAAGGAUUUGAAUUAGCGAAAUGUGCCGAACGAGCGUGAAUGGAACUGGCUGCCAGGGCUCUGCUAGAAUUUAAGUAAGUGCAGAUUUUGCAUUGUUACUCUCAGUGAGGUACAGAUGUGUAACCUCAGUGAGGUACCAAAUCAUAAAAUUGUGCCAGGACUGGAAAGAACGCUUUUGCUGAAAUUGAAGGGUUAAUGUGCAAAUGUGUCCAGCUUAUCACGUAACCGACCAUGCAUCCACCUGCGCACCUAAUGCAGUACGUCUUGGACUACUCUCCUCUCUAUCAUUUCUUAUUUCUUUUCCUCUUCUUUCUUCUCACUCCUCUUCUAACCAAACAAAGGAGUUUUUUUAGGGGAUUUGAAAGAGAACGCAGCGAGUUCGGCGCUUCUUGGCAUGUGAGGAAAAUUGUGAGCAAGGAAAAGUGGUGUACUCUCUCAACUCUCCUCUCUCUUUUGUUUAAUUCCUCUUCUCCUCUCUAUGAACCCUAAUGUGAGGAGUUUGGUGUAAAUAGGUGAAAUGAGCUCUUUUCGCUGGAAGUAGGUGCAGAAGCGAUUUGCUUUGGGAAACGUACCACCCUGGAGGAGGUCCAUCUAUUCUCUACUAGGAAUUGGGUAACUCCUAGUAUCGUUUGGUUUUGGAGUUCUUGGAGGAUAGAGGUUAGAGAUUGGGCUAUGUUAUAUUUGGUGGUAUAUGAACCUGGGGGCUGUGGAGAUAUGAUGGGUAAAUUGUAUUUUAGUUAAGAUGUGAAUGUAAAGUACUUAAGAAGGAUGUAAAUGUUUAGGUUCUUCUAAUACUAAGAACUGUUGUUAUAAAUCCUAAGAGAAGAACUACUUGUUAUGGAACCUUAGAGUAAGAAUGUAUCUACAAACCUCAUGUGUGGGCUUGGCAGUGGAAGGAAAUAUGUCUAGUAUUGCAAGAUUUCGCUUAGAGAUUAAUUUUAAAUCACGUUAAAUGCUCAAAUUAAAAAGUUUUGGACCGGUGGAAAGGUGAAGCUUACUAUAUGCUAUUAAUUAAUAGAUUAUGUAAAGCCCAUGUUGUUAUAAGAGAGUUUGGAAAAAACACUUAGAGAUCAUCGUUGCCAGCAUGCCAUGUGAGCGUUUGGAUUGUUGGAUUCUUGAAAUCUGAAAUUGGCUUUUGUUAUAUAACGCUGAUAAAGGCUUUCAGUGUACUAUACUAAUAAGUACAUUUUAAUAAUUGGGAACUAAAACAGCUAUCAAUGCAGAUUUUAAUUACAAGGCUGAUGUAAAAGUCUCUAAAACUGAUUCGGAAUUGAGGUGUUGGUUUUUGAAACUACGAAUAUUAUAUAAGUCUCAUGCAACCGGUGGUUAACAAUGGAGUUGUAUGGAACUUUAUAGAGGAAGCCGUAUGUUGAAUGUUAUAAUAUGCAACCUUUCGGGUUGCUGUAAAAGUGUAGAGANNNNNNNNNNNNNNNNNNNNNNNNNGGGAGCGAGUGAACGUUAGAUGUAGCUAGAUUUGAUUCUAGCCUCUUCGUCUUAUUUCUAUUGCAUUUAGAUAUGAACUUUGAACUUCGUAGAUAAUCAUUCGUUUAUCUGUUCCUACUUUAUUGUUUCUUUGUACCUACAAUAUCUGUUAGAACAAUUUCGGUUUGUGUUGCAUCAUAAACUUUAGUUUUGCUUAUAGGAUACUUCAGUUGAUUUUAGUUGCAAUUAAAUUGUUAGCCUCAUCUUUCGACUAUUUGGAUUUAAUAGAAAUUUUUCUUUAUGAUCAUCUUUUGUUUGUUAAUUGUCUGACUCUGUAGCCUUGCAUAUUUACUAAUUUAGUAGAUAUGCGGCAUCUGUUAUGCCUCGGGUUUGGGGCGUGACAAAAAAUAUGGUGAAGGGGUUAUCCUAUAUAAAUUAUCCAAACCAACUUUGUAAAGGUUGCAUUUUAGGAAAGCAACAUAGAGAUCCGUUUCCCGAAGAAAAAUUCAUUAGAGCCACAAAGCCUUUAUAGUUGGUUCAUACGGAUUUAUAUGAGAUGGAUAGACGCUCCAUUGGAAAUAAUAAAUAUUUUAUGACUUUCAUUGGUGAUUUUAGUAGAAAAUUUUAGGUUUAUUUUCUAAAAGAAAAAUCAGAAGCUUUUACUGCAUUCCAACAGUUUAAAAUACUUUUUGUAAAAGAGAGCGGGAAUUAUUUGAAAGUUUCACGGUCAGAUGGUGGAAGAUACUAUUUUUCUACAGAAUUUCACGAGUUCUACAAGGCACAUGGAAUUGUGCAUCAAAGUACCGCAGCAUAUUCACCGCAAUAGAACGGCGUGGCAGAAAGAAAAGAUCGCACAAUUGUAAAAAUGACAAGGAGCAUGCUUAUUGAAAAAGGUAUGCCAAAAAAUUUUUGGGUUGAAGCUAUUUCAUGUGCAAUUUAUGUAUUAAACAGAUGUCCAACAAAUAGUGUGGCCAAUAAAACACCUGAAGAAGCAUCAAGUGGAAGAAAACCUAUAGUAGCGCAUUUACGUAUUUUUGGAUGCAUGGCAUAUGCACAUGUUCCAAAGCAAACGAGAAAGAAAUUGGCGACAAAGCAGUCAGGUACGUUUUUAUCGGCUAUACAAAAAAUAUGAAAGCUUAUAAAUUAUAUGAUCCGGUUGUAGAAAAAAUCAUAAUCAGUAUAGAUGUAAAAUUUGAUGAAACUAAAUAAUGGGAUUGGAAAGGAAAAGAAAAGAUAAAUAAAGGCAUUAGCAUUCAAUUUGAAGAUAAUUUCGAGAAUCAAGAAAAGCAUGCAUCGGAUUCUCCUACUACAUCAGCACCCUCGUCGUCAUUAGGUUCUUCGCCUUCUUCUUUGAAGGAAGGUGUUCAAAGAAACCCUCCACGAAAUAUUACAAUGCCCGUAAAAUUGAAAGAUUAUAUUAUUGAUGAUACUGACAACAAUGAUGGUAGUGAUUUAACCCACUAUAUCAUAUUUUUAGAUUGUGAUUCUCUCAGGUUUGAUGAAGCGACGAAAGAAGAAAAGUGGCGUAAAGCCAUGUGUGAUGAAAUCGAGGUGAUCGAGAAAAACAAGACUUGAGAGUUGACAAAACUUCCAGAAGGCCAAAAAGCAAUUGGCAUGAAGUGAGUAUACAAAACCAAGCACAAACAAGACGGAUCGAUCGAUUGCCAUAAAGCUAGACUCGUUGUAAAAGGCUACCGGCAUAUGCCUGGUGUUGAUUUUCACAAGGUGUUUGCUCUCGUUGCCAGUUUGAAGUCGAUGCGGCUUCUAAUUGCUUUAGCAGCGCUAAAACAAUGGAAGAUCCAUCAGAUGAAUGUCAAAUCCACCUUCCUCAACGACUUUCUUGAUGAAUGAGUAUACAUAGAGCAACCGCCAGGAUUUAUACAAUAAGGUGAAGAAAACAAAGUUUACAAAUUGAAAAAAGCAUUGUACGGCUUGAAGCAAGCUCCACGAGCCUGGUACACACGUAUAGAUCUAUAUUUUCAAAAAAUCGAAUUUCGUAAGUGCCAUUGUGAACAUGCUCUUUACAUUAAAAAUAAUUCUAAUAGUAAUGUUUUAUUUGUUUCCUUGACGAUCUUAUCUUUACGGAAAAUAAUUUUGUUAUGAUUGAAGAAUUCAAAAAGAGCAUGACUAAUGAGUUUGAGAUUACUGAUAUAGGUCAUAGAGCUUAUUAUUUGGGCAGCGAAGUUUCACUAAGAGAUGAAGGUAUUUCUAUUUCUCAAAAGAAAUAUGCGGGGGAAAUACUUGAAAAGUUUCAAAUGGGGGAUUGUAAAUCGGUCGUUACCCUAGUUGAGAUCGGAUGAAAUGUCACGCCCCGCGCCCCGAGGUCGCUACCGAUUUGGCACGGUUCGGGCGCGGCAGGCGGACCGCCGAACGGACAGCACCUCCCCUAUCCGCCCAAGGCUAAACAACGAGAUCAUGUACAACAAGUCCCCAGGAAAUCAACUUGAAUACAUACAUGAUCAUGCAACAACAGCGAGAGCACAAACAGUGCUGAACAAUACAAGAGCAAGCGUCACAAGUAGAAGACAUACAAGUGAAACAAAAGAGAGAUACUUAACUAUUCUAUUACAACCAUUCAGCUCGAUACAUUUAAUUACAACUUGCAUUCUUUUCCAAACUAUGAAUAUAAGCUUACAUUCUUCAAAAGAUAAACAUUAGUUUACAUUUAUCUCAAAAUACCUCACAUCCUAUACAUCAUCUACUCUCAAUACAUGUAUAGGGUAACUCUAAUGCAAAAUAGGAAAGUAAACUAUCAACUAGCACUAGGGCGCUAAGCCCAUAACGCGAUCCUCUGCCGAUCCGCUCUCGUGUGUACCUGUACCCCAAAACCACACGGGGUGAGAACUAUAUAAAUAUAGUUCCCAGUGGGUUCGGCCGCCGACUCCGCCGAUCUUCCCACUAGGUCCAAGCUGGCACAGAUAGAUAGAUAGAAAGAUAUAUGGAAAUACUACUACUAUAUCUACUAUGCCAUCAAAUGCAAAGUAUGCAUGGAACAUCAUCUAGCAACAAUCUACUAUCAUGCUAAUAUGCCUCAACAGUGAAAUAAAUACAACAACAACAUAGUUAUGCAAUGCACUAUGUCUAAUCAAGGUAUGAAUGCAAUACUCUUAUGCUAUUCAUGUUAUUACCCAAUCCGCUAGGCUAACUUGCCUAAGAUCUCAAAUCUAGUAGGUGAAGAGCUACCUCACUCUUGUCUCACUCGACUCAUAUCUCAAAGGUCUGACCCAAUCUCGUGAGUCCCAGGCAAAGAGCUACCCCGCCCCUCGCCCGACUCACAUCUCAAGGUCCUAGGCAAAGGCUACCCCGCACUUUGCCCGACUCACAUCUCGACCUACUAGGUACAGGGCUACUCCACUCAAAUCUCAUAGGUGAACAACAACAACAACUAUGGAAGCAAGCUAUCAUGAACAACAAUAAUGAGUAUGACUCAAUAGGUACUCAAAUCUCAUAGGUGAACAACAACAACAACUAUGGAAGCAAGCUAUCAUGAACAACAAUAAUGAGUAUGACUCAAUAGGUACUCAAAUCUCAUAGGUGAAGGAAUAGUAUAUCAUGAAGGCAUGAGCAAUAAGUAAGCUACUAUGAACACUAGUAAGCUACUAUGAACAACAACAACAACUAUGGAAGCAAGCUAUCAUGAACAACAAUAAUGAGUAUGACUCAAUAGGUACUCAAAUCUCAUAGGUGAAGGAAUAGUAUAUCAUGAAGGCAUGAGCAAUAAGUAAGCUACUAUGAACACUAGUAAGCUACUAUGAACAACAACAACAACUAUGGAAGCAAGCUAUCAUGAACAACAAUAAUGAGUAUGACUCAAUAGGUAACCAAAUCUCGUGGUGAACACAAGGUUCACAAGCAAGGCUCACAUAUCAAUCUCCGAGGGAUGCCUAGCUGGUCGAUCCCCGAGUACGCCUGCGGAUAACAAGCGGCUAUCCGAGCAGCAAGCAGGGCUGCCUCUCUAGUGACCAAACUCCGGAGCGCACAACUUGAGGGGAGCGACCCCACCAAGCGCAGACAGGCAAUGUGAGCGUGAUCAUCUCACGAGCAACAGCAACCUACCCUCUAAGGGUAAUCUCAUCAUGGAAUCAAGGUGUUCUUGUACCCAAUCUCAUAGUGUUUCAACUACACUAAGGUUCUCAUGUCAAGGUUAUCAACAAUCAUAUGCCACUCAUCAUAGUUUUCUAAACUAGAUGCCACUCGACAUUUAGACUCAUUUCAACACUAGUUACAUCAUACUAGUUCUUUAGCAACAUAAGCAUUAAUCACCUCACAUAGGGUCUAGGUCUUUAUCAUAAAGUUUUCAUCAUAUAAUCAUCAUGCAUACUAGAUCAUGGAUCAAUCAUCAAGAUGUAUAGCUACUAGCAUGCAAAUAUGAGCAAUGACCACAAUCAUUUAGCAUCUAAAUGCAAUAAAUACAAUAUGCAACUUAAUCGAUUAAUGCACUCAACAAAGUUUAAUCCACAUUAAUCAUGCCCUUAUAGGGUUUCACCACACUAAGUCCCAAUCUCAUGCAUACUAGGUACAAGUAUUAAUCAAGUAACACUACACUCCCACUAGCAUGCCAUGACAUGUAACAAUUGCCAACUAGUACCCUAUAAUGCAAUAUCCCAAUAUGCAACUUGAUCAACGUUAACUAGAGUUUCUAGUACAACAACCAAUCCAUUACUAGUUCAAGUCAUAUGUGUUUUUAGCACAAUAAGUUCAAUGCCACUUGUAAACUAUGUCUUUAAACACAACACUAGGUUCUUCUCUCAUUUAGCAUCAUAGGUUUACCAAUGUCAUCUCAUAAUCCUUAUGUUCAUUACAUCAUAUAUCCAUAUCAUAGUACUAUAUUGAUCAUAAACAUCAUAUAAGGAUUAGGAAUGUAUGUAUUGUCAUCCUAUAAUGCGAGGUAUCGAUAUACAAUAUGCUACAUGUGAAUGGAUAAGCACUAAGACAUAGGAAGAAGCCCGAUUGCUUCGGGAUGGCACUCCCCCACCUUUUAUCGCGUUCCGAUUGCUCGUCGUCACUCGCAAUCGGCCUCCCGCGGCGCACGCCGCUCGGCUCGACCCAAUCCGCGCGCAACCACCAAACGACCUCCGAUCCGCAAUCCGAAAAUUAAAGGUCUUCGGUUUCUUGGUACGAUGCUUCAAAUCCGUUUUCUGGAUUUUACGACGUCGCCUCAGCCCUCCAGGCGGAAACGAAGCCUAACGUCCGUUUGAGCUCAAACUUGACAGUCAUGUUCAGUUUUACUUAACUUAACAAGCUGACGAUCACUGGUUCAGUUUCGACCCCGUUUGGUCACUGAAAACUGUACCGAACUGCAAUCUUUAUCAGAUAGCUUUCGGAUUUUAUUUCUCACUCUACGGGUGUCAGAAAAAUAUGAAACCUUAAAUCUAGCCUUAUAAAUAUAUUUCUGACUUAUCCUCCAAUUUUUAUAAUUUUCUGAGACUGUGCAUUUUCUGCUAAUUUAUCUGCCCCGUUUCCAACAGAAAAUUCUAAAUCUUCUGUUUUAAUUCCGAUUUCAGCACAGGUCAUUCCCAACUUAUAUUUCACUUCUCUAAAUUCAAUAAAAAUAGUAUCUCAUACUAUUUUUAUUUAUUUCUAUUUUUUUAUAUUUAAAUCCGGUAUAUUACAUUACACCGCAACCUUACCGGAACCAUUCAAAUGGCUCUCCAACCAAAUGGACACCGUAACUCAUAAUUUUAGAAGUCCGGUACCUUACAUGAAAGCUCAACAAGAAAGGUGACAGAAAGCCUGUUAAUCCCACAUAUUUUAAACAGUUAGUGGGAAGCUUGCGCUACUUAAC
rnacentral:lncRNA from 1 species